GGGUGUCAUUCUAACUAAUUGGAUUCGGCAACCAAACAUAGCUCGUUGCAAAGCUGACUAAAAUAUAUUUCCUCCAUUUCAUAAUAUAGUGUCCACGCGCUUUUCGAGAUUCAAAUUUGACCAUAAAUUAGACCAAUAAUACAUAAAUCAUUUUACUGAAAAAUUAUACCUUUGAAUACUUUUUCAAAUACGAAUUCAAAGGUAUCUCCAUGAUACGGCCGCAGUCGCUAAUGUUGGUUGAAGUUAUGGUCAAAAUUAGAUCUCGAAAAGCGUGGGCGCACUACAUUAAAGGAUGGACGGAGUACCAUUAGUUUAUUCUUUUACAUAAAGGAUCAGAUCUGCUAUAAAGUUUAUCAGAAAUACAAAGCAUCUCAAAAAUAAAAAAAAAUGCUGCGAAAUUUGGAUACCACCAGAUGAUCACUACUGUUGCCAGAACGAGCCACCGAUGCACCCUUGUCGCGGCUUCCCUACCGGAGCCGGAUUGACCUUGUGGAUAAUAGUCUGGAAGUGUUCGUGCUCGUGUCGUGAAGGACCAGCGCCUUGCAGCCGUAGUCGUCGCCUUUGACGCCAUGCAUAGAUAUGAAGCACGUGAUACCAAAUGUAGCCACAUGAUGAGAAACCCUAACCUCGCCGCCCUGAGGUGGCGGUAGGAAUCUAUGCCGGAGCUCAUCCACGCCAACUCUUUUUUGGCGGUUUUGCGCCUUCACAUGCCGGCAGCCAAAGAUGGAGACGGUUAGACUUUUUCUCUAAGAACGAUAGUACCAUAUCGCUAGCACAGCAAGGUUCACACCGGAUUAUAUGCGUGCCUCUCGUCCGCUGCACCAGCCGGGCGUGGUGGUGCACGCCUAUGACUCCAGCUUCGGAGGGCGGGUUGGCACUGCUUAGACUCAAUUUCUCAGGCUGGGAGCGUAACCCCGCAGCGCCGUGCGUUCCCGUCAACCGAGUGCCAACCCUUUAGCCCUCUGUAGCUGGAGUCAGAAGCGCGCGCCACCGCACCCGGCUGUUCCAAACGGAUGCGCGGUGCACAUAUAUGCCGGUCUGUGCACUACUCAGCCACCGGUAUGGUACUAUUCCAUUUACAGCAGACCGGUCUUUUAGCAACUUGUCCGAUUUUUUAUUUUAAGCAUCAGUCCGAUCUCGGCCGCGUCUUUCUUCUUCCUCCCGUCCGACCCAUCAUCCCGCGCCGGCGACAACAUAUAACCAGCUAUAUAAGUUCAAGGCGCGAAGCAAGAGGGCUUAUUUUUUGCAUACUCGCCUUGCAGGGAUGCGAAGUGGUGGGUGUUUUAAAAUAAAUAAAAAGGAAAAUAUAAGACGAGCACGUUGUUAGCGGGUACUUGGCUUACAUAGCCCACUACCACGGGGACAUCAGGCCCGUGGAGGAUGGUCAUGUGACAGCCACAAUGCCGAGGCUCGCCUAUAGGCCGAGUAUUAUUUUCUUUCCUAGAUAAGACGAGUGCAUAGUGGAAAGCGGGAGUUUUUUUAUCAGUUCUUGCAUUAGCCCGCAAUAUGCCGAGAAUCUUUUUUAUGCCAUGUGCUUUAUUUUGGGUACUUGGCUUAUUGGUGCAUAAGCCAAGUACCCGUAAAAUAAUACUCGGCAUCCGACGAAACACUCGGCUACAUGUUUUUCUUCCGUAGUACAUUGGGCUUCAACGUCAAUAUUUUGGUCACUCACAUAUUGGGCUCGCUAUCUGUAGCCAAUAUUGUAAUAGACCCUUUGGUUCAUUAGUAAAAAAAUGAUUAAGAGUUAUCUUUCUUUUUUUAAAUUUACACUAGGUAAAAUUUCCUUGGUCCAUAAAUUAAUAUGUUUGUAGUUAGACUGUUUCGAACGUAUGCUUUGGCUGCCCAAGUCUGGAUAGUACCCGUUGUUAGUGAAGUGUUUUAUGUAUAUGUGUGCAUGCUUGGUUGGGCCAACUUUGUGUAAUACGUUUAGUGAAAUACAAAAUUGAUAUAUGCCACACUUUUGUGGUAACGACCAAUAACUAUAUAAAGAACUAUAUUCUACCUUUGUUCCUCCUCCGCAAGAAAAGAUCCCAUGCUUUUCUCCUCCUCCCAUCGGCGCUGCAGCUGGUCUGCCCCAUCUCUUAUCGCCUCUGGGCCAUGGAGGUGCGGUGGACCUGAGCCCCCCGCUAGCCGGAGGGACCCUCGUUCUCAUUCUUGUUUGGUUCAACAUCUUGGUUGGGGCUAUAUGGCGGCAGAGAUGUCUCUCAGUAGGAAUAAUGUCUCGCACGUUCUAUCCCCGUCCCAAUUGUGCCAGGGCUCGCCUGUGUGUGUGUGUGUGUGUGUGUGUGUGUGUGUGUGUGUGAAAUGGUAUCACUAAACACUUAAAAUCUAUUCAGAGUCAAAUAAUUAAUAUUCUACCUUAAACUUUCUUCUUACAACCCUAGAUGGAAAUUCGUUUAUGAAUGUAUCAAUAUCAAUGUCAUUCAUAUGUUUUCCAAAUGCAUAAAGUUAUCAAACCAUUUAACCUCUUUUGGGACAUUAACAAACCUCACAUACUUUUUCCUCAACAUAUAGCUAUUUUAAAGAUGCACAUGCUACUUCCAGUAGAACAUUACUUAUCACGUAAGGCAGCAUACCUCGGCCAUCAUCAUCACAUCGAGUAUCUCCAUAUACAUGUCGUCCUUCAUAUUAAUUUUUGUUCGUUGAUGAAGCAUUAGAACCAUCUUCUAAGCUCUAGAUCUAACACAAAUAAUGAGUUAAGUUUAUUAAACUAAAAGAGAAAACAGUUUAACAGAAGAUUCAGUAGAUUACGUGAUAUCAUCUGCAGAUCCAAAAGCAAUAUAUUCUGUGAAAUUUGAUUCUAGAGAUAUAAGUUCAAAUCUUCUACAGCAUAGGGACCACCCAAAUGGCUUUGAGAUAGAGCUUUUGCAGCAUCACUACAAACCCAUAAAAUUGAUCACCGAUUUAAUACAAUAGGUAGAAGAGUUCAUAAAGAUUUCGACGCACCUUCAGUGGUUAAUCCUGCUUCAGUAGACAUCAUCCCAUGGUCCUAAUUUUCCUAAUCGAACAGUAACAACAUAGUUCCUAAGUUUGAAUGCCAAAAGAAAAUCCUGCUCCUGGUGACUAUUUUUACCCAUCUGGAGCAACGAAAGGGAGUAAUCUCAUAAUCCAUACAAAACCCAUAAGAUUCGAUAAAAGAUGUGCAGAACGAUGCUUAUCAAAGCCUGGUGACGAAUAAACCGACGUGGUCCUCCUACAUCCCCGUGUGUCGUGGCAUCGAUGGCGAUUGCCCUGCGAGGAUUGCAGAGUGAAGUUUGGCGUCGGCGGGGGGCCUAGGGCAUUUUUUAUAUCAACUAGGGCAUUGUCUGCUACCCUUUUUUUGUUUUUGCUUGAAGGGAAAUUGUGCGCUACCUGCAGGUGGGUAUUUCACCACAUGUUGUGCCAGACCCAAUAACUCGGGUUAUGUUCGCUGCUAGGCCCCUGUGAUUGCAAGGAAGUAAACACAAGGACAUAAUAAUCGUGUGGUCGUUGUUGGCUGCAUCGUGACUGCAUGCAGAUUAUCUGAACUGCGUCCUAAUCGGAGGGGGGCUCCGGACUUUGGNNNNNNNNNNNNNNNNNNNNNNNNNNNNNNNNNNNNNNNNNNNNNNNNNNNNNNNNNNNNNNNNNNNNNNNNNNNNNNNNNNNNNNNNNNNNNNNNNNNNNNNNNNNNNNNNNNNNNNNNNNNNNNNNNNNNNNNNNNNNNNNNNNNNNNNNNNNNNNNNNNNNNNNNNNNNNNNNNNNNNNNNNNNNNNNNNNNNNNNNNNNNNNNNNNNNNNNNNNNNNNNNNNNNNNNNNNNNNNNNNNNNNNNNNNNNNNNNNNNNNNNNNNNNNNNNNNNNNNNNNNNNNNNNNNNNNNNNNNNNNNNNNNGUGUCUAGCGUCAUCGGUGGGCGUGUGGAGGUGUGUUGCUACUAGUGAGUUGCGUCAUCGGAGAUGCAGUAUAGUACAAAUAAAUAUUUCCCUCAGUUAUGAAACCAAGGUUAUCAAUCCAGUAUGAGAACCAAGCAAUACUAUGUAAACAACACCUGCACACCGAUACGUCGCCAACGUAUCUAUAAUUUUUGAUUGCUCCAUGCUAUGUUAUCUACUGUUUUGGACUAUAUUGGGCUUUAUUUUCCACUUUUAUAUUAUUUUUGGGACUAACCUAUUAACCGGAGGCCCAGCCCAGAAUUGCUGUUUUUUGCCUAUUUCAGUGUUUCGAAGAAACGGAAUAUCAAACGGAGUCCAAACAGAAAAAUCAUUUUUGGAAUGUGAUUUUCUCACCGGAUAAGACCCAGGAGACUUGGACCCUACGCCAAGGCAUCGAAGAGGCGGUCACGAGGGUGGGGGGCACCCCCCCUAGGGCGUGCCCCCCUGCCUCGUGGGCCCCUCGAAGCUCCACCGACGUACUUCUUCCUCCUAUAUAUACCCACGUACCCCCAAACGAUCAGAACAAGAGCCAAAAACCUAAUUCCACCGCUGCAACUUUCUGUAUCCACGAGAUCCCAUCUUGGGGCCUGUUCCGGAGCUCCGCCGGAGAGGGCCGUCAUCACGGAGGGAUUCUACAUCAUGAUAGCCUCUCCGAUGAAGUGUGAGUAGUUUACCUCAGACCUUCGGGUCCAUAGUUAUUAGAUAGAUGGCUUCUUCUCUCUUUUUCGAUCUCAAUACAAUGUUCUCCCCCUCUCUUGUGGAGAUCUAGUCGAUGUAAUCUUCUUCUUUUUGCGGUGUGUUUGUUGAGACCGAUGAAUUGUGGGUUUAUGAUCAAGUUUAUCUAUGAACAAUACUUGAAUCUUCUCUGAAUUCUUUUAUGUAUGAUUGGUUAUCUUUGCAAGUCUCUUCGAAUUAUCCGUUUGGUUUGGCCAACUAGAUUGGUAGUUCUUGCCAUGGGAGAAGUGCUUAGCUUUGGGUUCGAUCUUGCAGUGUUCUUUCCCAGUGACAGAAGGGGCAGCAAGACACGUAUUGUAUCGUUGCCAUCGAGGAUAACAAGAUGGGGUUUAUUUCGUAUUGCAUGAAUUUAUCUCUCUACAUCAUGUCAUCUUGCUUAAAGCGUUACUCUGUUUUUAACUUAAUACUCUAGAUGCAUGCUGGAUAGCGGUCGAUGAGUGGAGUAAUAGUAGUAGAUGCAGAAUCAUUUCGAUCUACUUGUCACAGACGUGAUGCCUAUAUACAUGAUCAUGCCUAGAUAUUCUCAUAACUAUGCUCAAUUCUGUCAAUUGCUCAACAAUAAUUUGUUCACCCACCGUAGAAUAGUUAUGCUCCCGAGAGAAGCCACUAGUGAAACCUAUGGCCCCCGGGUCUAUUCUCAUCAUAUCAAUCUCCAUCACUUUAAUCUUGCUUUGUUUUUACUUUGUCUUUUACUUUCCACUUUGCAUCUCUAUACCAAAACUACCAAAAAUAUUAUCUAUCGGAUCUCACUUUCGUAAGUGACCGUGAAGGGAUUGACAACCCCUAAUCGCGUUGGUUGCAUUGAGCUCUUUGUGUUGUGUAGGUACGAGGGACUUGCGCGUGGCCUCCUACUGGAUUGAUACCUUGGUUCUCAAAAACUGAGGGAAAUACUUAUGCUACUCUGCUGCAUCAUCCUUUUCUCUUCGGGGAAAACCAACGCAAGCUCAAGAGGUAGCACACACAAACAACAAAUACUUGCAACCCAACGCGUAGAGGGGUUGUUAAUCCCUCAAUGGUAUUGAGAUAGAUUAAAUUGUAUAGGGUUUUAUAAAUACAUCUAACUAAAACAAAGAACAAAAUAAAUAAAAUAAAACUGCAGCAAGGUAUUUUUAGGAGUUUUAUUAUAUAAAAGAUAGAACCUGGGAGCAUAGUUUUCACUAGAGGUUUCUCUAAAGAAAACAUCAUCGGUAGGUAAACAAAUUACUGUUGGGAAAUUGACAAAAAAGCAAAUAAUUAUGAUCAUAUCCAAGGCAAUGAUCAUGUAUAUAGGCAUCAUGUCCAAGAUUAGCAGACCGAAAUGAUUCUGCAUCUACUACUAUUACUCCACACAUCGACCGAUAUCCAACAUGCAUCUAGUGUAUUAAGUUCAUGAAAAAAUGGAGUAAUGCAUUAGGCAAGAUGACAUAAUGUAAAAAAGAUAAAAUCACGUAUGAAUAAACCCCUCUUGUUACCCUUAAUAGUAAUGAUACAUGCCUGUCAUGUCUCUUUCUGUCGGAGAGAUUGAGCAUGGCAAGAUCGAACCAUCACAAACCACCUCUUCCCAGGGCAAGAAAAUUCAAUCUAGUUGGCCAAACCAAACAAAUAAUUCAGAGUCGAAAUACGAGGCUAUAACAAUCAUGCAUAAAAGAGUUCAGAGAGAACUCAAAUAAUAUCAUGGAUAGAUCUGAUUAUAAACUCACAAUUCAUCGGAUCGCAACAAACACACCGCAAAAAGUCAUUACAUCAAAUAGAUCUCCAGGAACAUCAAGGAGAACAUUGUAUUGAAGAUCAAAAAGAGAGAAGAAGCCAUCUAGCUAAUAACUACGACCCGUAGGUCCGUGGUAAACUACUCACGCAUCAUCGGAGGGGCAGCAAGGAUGAUGAACAACCCCUCCGUGAUCGUUUCCCCCUCCAGUAGAGUGCCGGAAAAGGCCUCUAGAUGGAUCGUUACCCACCAGGGCGCUCUAGAGGCCCCUGGCGCGCCCUGGUGUCUAGUGGGCCCCACGAGCCUCUUCUCCUGGCCUUAGAAGCUUCAAGUUCUCUUCUUGCCAGCAAAAAUCUUCAAAAACUUUCGUGGCAUGUGGACUUCGUUUGGUAUUGAUAUUCUGCAAAGUAAAAAGACAAGCAAAAAACAGCAACUCGCACAAUGCACCGGGCACUAAGUUAAUAGGUUAGUCCCAAAAAUUUAUAUAAAGUUGCUAGUAAAUGUAUAUAAAACAUCCAAUAUUGAUAAUAUAAUUGCAUGGACUAAUAAAAAAUUAUAGAUACGUUGGAGACGAAUCAUGUGUCUUCGUCAGAUCUCACAGGAUUCGAUCAGCGUUGGUCUUCGGUGAAUCAGUUUGGAUCCGGUCUUCGUUCGUCUUUGUGGUGUUUAUAGGAUUGAUCCUUUCGAUCUAUGACUUUCUUCAUCGGCGAUGGUUGCUGCUUCGGUGCGCUGGUCCUAUGGGACCUUAGCACGACGACUUCCUGCCUGUAUACUACAACAAGUUUUACCCAGCUCCAGCGAGGAAGGGGUAAUGAUGGCGACGCGCGGCUCGCUCUGGUGCUUGUAGUCAUCGCUAGGUGGUCCACAGACCUGGUUAUAAUUUUUCUUAUCUCUGUUGAUCUUUGUACUGCCAUGAUUGAAGAUGAAUAUGUUGGAAGUUUCUCACGCAAAAAAAUAACUAUAUAAAUAACUAUUUUAGUAAAAUUCAUAAAAAAAACUAUUUGAGCAAGUAAUAAAUUUUGACACCAAUUCUAUGGUAGUAAUUAAUCUUUCCCGUAAUAAUAUCCACAUUGGAUCCAGGUUUUAUACUGUGUAUACAUACGGGAGUAUGUUUAGAUAGUUGUGUGGACACAAGGAUAUAUCCUAGCAAAACUAUUUUUAGCAACAAGUAAUUAAUGAAUUAAUAUGUUUUAGCUAUACUUUGUUGGUGAAAACAUGUUGUAUUAGCUGUACAAUCAUCCACACCAGCUGAUAAAAUCAUAGUGAAACAAGCGGCACCAUAUCAUGAAAUAGCAGCAGAUUGUGAGGGUUAUGUGGGGAUCCUUUAUGGUGGUAGCUUACACGUCUCCAACGUAUCUAUAAUUUUUGAUUGUUCCAUGCUAUUAUAUUAUCUGUUUUGGAUGUUCUGUAUGCAUUAAUAUGCUAUUUUAUAUUAGUUUUGGGAGUAAGCUAUUAACCUAGAGCCCAGUGCCCGUUUAUGUUUUUCCUUGUUUUUGACUUUUAUUGAAAACGAAUAUCAAACAGAGUCGAAAUGGAAUAAAACUUUAUGAUGAUUUUUCUAAGACCAGAAGACAGCCACAAGACUUGGAGAGAUGGACAGAAGAGUCCCAAGGAGGCCACAAGGCCUCAGGGCGCGCCCCCUGGCUUGUGUGCCCCUUGGGAGUCCCCUAACCCUAGUUCCAUCUUUAUAAAUUAUCAAAUAUUCCCCAAACAUCAGAAGCGUCCACCAAAUUACUUCUCCACAGCCGCAAGCUUCUGUUAUCGUAAGAUCUCAUCUUGGGGCCUUUUCCGGCACUCCGCCGAGGGGGAUUCGAUCACGGAGGGCCUCUACAUCAACCUUUCUGCCCUUUCGAUGAAGCGUGAGUAAUUUACCACAGACCUAAGGGUCCAGAGCUAGUAGCUAGAUGGCUUCUUCUCUCUCUUUGAUCUUCAAUACAAUGUUCUCCUCGAUGUUCUUCGAGUUCUAUCUGAUGUAAUCUUCUUUUGUUGUGCGUUUGUUGAGAUUCGAUGAAUUGUUUUGAUUAGGUUAUCUAUAAAUAUUAUUUUAGUCUUCUUUGAACUCUUUUAUGCAUGAUUAAGAUAUCUUUGUAUUUCUCUUCAAACUAUCGAUUUGGUUUGGCCAACUAGAUUGGUUUUUCUUGCAAUGAGAGAGGUGCUUAGCUUUGGGUUCAAACUUGCGGUGUCCUCACCUAGUGACAGAAGGGGUAGAGAGUCAUGUAUUGCUUUGUUGCCAUGAAGGAUAAAAAGAUGGGGUUUAUGUCAUAUUGCUUGAGUUUAUCCCUCUACAUCAUGUCAUCUUACUUAAAGCAUUACUCUAUUCUUAUAAACUUAAUACUCUAGAUGCAUGCAGGAGUCGGUCUAUGUGUGGAGUAAUAAUAGUAGAUGCAUAAUAAUUUUGGUCUACUUGUCACGGACGUGAUUCCUAUAUUCAUGAUCAUUGCCUUAGAUAUCAUCAUAACUAUGCGCUUUUCUAUCAGUUGCUCAACAGUAAUUUGUUUACCCACCGUAUGUUUUCUUUCAAGAGAGAAGCCUCUAGUGAAACCUAUGCCCCCCCCCCGGGUCUAUUUUCCAUCAUAUAUUUCGAGAUCCAUAAAUCAAAAAACCCCAAAAUACCUUGCUGUAAUUUAUUUAUAUUUACUUUAGUUUGCCUUUUUAUUUUCCUUUUAUACCUAUCUAUUAGAUCCCACUCUUGUUCAUGACCGUGAAGGGAUUGACAACCCCUUUUUCGCGUUGUGUGCAAGUGUUUGUUAGUUUGUGCAGCUGCUGAAGGAAAUAUGCCCUAGAGGCAAUAAUAAAGUUAUUAUUUAUUUCCUUAUAUCAUGAUAAUUGUUUAUUAUUCAUGCUAGAAUUGUAUUAACCGGAAACAUAAUACUUGUGUGAAUACAUAGAAAAACUAAACGUCACUAGUAUGCCUCUACUUGACUAGCUCGUUAAUCGAAGAUGGUUAUGUUUCCUAACCAUAGACAUGUGUUGUCAUUUGAUUAACAGGAUCACAUCAUUAGGAGAAUGAUGUGAUAGACAUGACCCAUUCCAUUAGCUUAGCACCCGAUCGUUUAGUAUGUUGCUAUUGCUUUCUUCAUGACUUAUACAUGUUCCUAUGACUAUGAGAUUAUGCAACUACCAUUUGCCAGAGGAACACUUUGUGUGCUACCAAACGUCACAACGUAACUGGGUGAUUAUAAAGGAGCUCUACAGGUGUCUCCAAAGGUACAUGUUGGGUUGGCGUAUUUCGAGAUUAGGAUUUGUCACUCCGAUUGUCGGAGAGGUAUCUCUGGGCCCUCUCGGUAAUGCACAUCACAUAAGCCUUGCAAGCAUUCCAACUAAUGAGUUAGUUGUGAGAUGAUGUAUUACGGAACAAGUAAAGAGACUUGCCGGGAACGAGAUUGAACUAGGUAUUGAGAUACCGACGAUCGAAUCUCGGGAAAGUAACAUACCGAUGACAAAGGGAACAACGUAUGUUGUUAUGCGGUCUGGCCGAUAAAGAUCUUCGUAGAAUAUGUAGGAGCCAAUAUGAGCAUCUAGGUUCCGCUAUUGGUUAUUGACCGGAGACGUGUCUCGGUCAUGUCUACAUUGUUCUCGAACCCGUAGGGUCCGCACGCUUAAAGUUACGAUAACAGUUUCAUUAUGAGUUUAUAUAUUUUGAUGUACUGAAUGUUGUUUGGAGUCCCGGAUUUGAUCACGGACAUGACGACGAAUCUCUAAAUGGUCGAGACAUAAAGAUCGAUAUAUUGGACGGCUAUAUUCGGACACCGGAAGUGUUCCGGAGAAGUUUCGGAUAAAACCGGAGUACCGGGGGGUUACCGGAACCCCCCGGGGGUCAAUGGGCCUCAUGGGCCCAAAGUGGAGAAGAGGAGGGGCGGCCAGGGCAGGCUGCGCGCCCCCUCCCCCUCUAGUCCGAAUUGGACAAGGAGGGGGGGGGCCUUUCCUUCCUCUCCUCUCUCCCUUCCUUCCCCCUCUCCUACUUGGACAAGGAAAAGGAGGGAGUCCUACUCCCGGUAGGAGUAGGACUCCUCCCUGGCCGGCCGCCCCUCCCCCUUGCUCCUUUAUAUAUGGGGGCAGGGGGGCACCUCUAGACACACAAGUUGAUCUUCGUGAUCGUUCUCUUAGCCGUGUGCGGUGCCCCCUCCACCAUCAUCCUCGAUAAUAUUGUAGCGGUGCUUAGGCGAAGCCCUGCGACGGUAGAACAUCAAGACCGUCACCACGCCGUCAUGCUGACGGAACUCUUCCCCGACACUUUGCUGGAUCGGAGUCCGGGGAUCGUCAUCGAGCUGAACGUGUGCUAAAACUCGGAGGUACGGUAGUUUCGGUGCUUGAUCGGUCGGGCCGUGAAGACGUACUACUACAUCAACCACGUUGUUAUAACGCUUCCGUUGUUGGUCUACGAGGGUACGUAGACAACACUCUCCCCUCUUGUUGCUAUGCAUCACCAUGAUCUCGCGUGUGCGUAGGAAUUUUUUUGAAAUUACUACGUUACCCAACAGUGGCAUCAGAGCCUAGGUUUUAUGUGUUGAUGUUAUAUGCACGAGUAUAACACAAGUGAGUUGUGGGUGAUAUAAGUCAUACUGCUUACCAGCAUGUCAUACUUUGGUUCGGCGGUAUUGUUGGAUGAAGCGGCCUGGACCGACAUUACGCGUACACUUACGCGAGACUGGUUCUACCGACGUGCUUUGCACACAGGUGGCUGGCGGGUGUCAGUUUCUCCAACUUUAGUUGAACCGAGUGUGGCUACGCCCGGUCCUUGCGAAGGUUAAAACAGCACCAACUUGACAAACUAUCGUUGUGGUUUUGAUGCGUAGGUAAGAUUGGUUCUUGCUUAAGCCCGUAGCAGCCACGUAAAACUUGCAACAAACAAAGUAGAGGACGUCUAACUUGUUUUUGCAGGGCAUGUUGUGAUGUCAUAUGGUCAAGACAUGAUACUAAAUUUUAUUGUAUGAGAUGAUCAUGUUUUGUAACCGAGUUAUCGGCAACUGGCAGGAGCCAUAUGGUUGUCGCUUUAUUGUAUGCAAUGCAAUCGCCCUGUAAUGCUUUACUUUAUCACUAAGCGGUAGCGAUAGUCGUAGAAGCAUAAGAUUGGCGAGACGACAACGAUGCUACGAUGGAGAUCAAGGUGUCGCGCCGGUGACGAUGGUGAUCAUGACGGUGCUUUGAAGAUGGAGAUCACAAGCACAAGAUGAUGAUGGCCAUAUCAUAUCACUUAUAUUGAUUGCAUGUGAUGUUUAUCAUUUAUGCAUCUUAUCUUGCUUUGAUUGACGGUAGCAUUUUAAGAUGAUCUCUCACUAAUUAUCAAGAAGUGUUCUCCCUGAGUAUGCACCGUUGCAAAAGUUCUUCGUGCUGAGACACCACGUGAUGAUCGGGUGUGAUAGGCUCUACGCUCAAAUACAACGGGUGCAAAACAGUUGCACACGCGGAAUACUCAGGUUAUACUUGACGAGCCAAGCAUAUACAUAUAUGGCCUCGGAACACGGAGACCGAAAGGUCGAGCGUGAAUCAUAUAGUAGAUAUGAUCAACAUAGUGAUGUUCACCAAUGGAACUACUCCAUCUCACGUGAUGAUCGGGCAUGGUUUAGUUGAUUUGGAUCACGUGAUCACUUAGAGGAUUAGAGGGAUGGCUAUCUAAGUGGGAGUUCUUUAGUAAUAUGAUUAAUUGAACUUAAAUUUAUCAUGAACUUAGUACCUGAUAGUAUCUUGCUUGUUUAUGUUUGAUUGUAGAUAGAUGGCCCGUGUUGUAGUUCCGUUGAAUUUUAAUGCGUUCCUUGAGAAAGCAAAGUUGAAAGAUGAUGGUAGCAAUUACACGGACUGGGUCCGUAACUUGAGGAUUAUCCUCAUUGCUGCACCGAAAAGUUACGUCCUGGAAGUACCACUGGGUGCCAGGCUUGCUGCUGAGGCAACUGACGACGUUAAGAAUGUCUGGCAGAGCAAAGCUGAUGACUACUCGGUAGUUCAAUGUGCCAUGCUUUACGGCUUAGAAUCGGGUCUUCAACGACGUUUUGAACGUCAUGGAGCAUAUGAGAUGUUCCAAGAGUUGAAGUUAAUAUUUCAAGCAAAUGCCCGGAUUGAGAGAUAUGAAGUCUCCAAUAAGUUCUAUAGCUGCAAGAUGGAGGAGAACAGUUCUGUCAGUGAGCAUAUACUCAAAAUGUCUGGGUAUAAUAAUCACUUGAUUCAAUUGGGAGUUAAACUUCCAGAUGAUUGCGUCAUUGACAGAAUUCUCCAAUCACUUCCACCUAGCUACAAGAGCUUCGUGAUGAACUAUAAUAUGCAAGGGAUGGAUAAGACAAUUCCCGAGCUCUUCGCAAUGCUGAAAGCUGCGGAGGUAGACAUCAAGAAGGAGCAUCAAGUGUUGAUGGUCAACAAGACCACUAGUUUCAAGAAAAAGGGCAAAGGGAAGAAGAAGGGGAACUUCAAGAAGAAUAGCAAGCAAGUUGCUGCUGAGGAGAAGAAACCCAAAUCUGGACCUAAGCCUGAAACUGAGUGCUUCUACUGCAAGCAGACUGGUCACUAGAAGCGGAACUGCCCCAAGUAUUUGGCGGAUAAGAAUGAUGGCAAGGUGAACAAAGGUAUAUGUGAUAUACAUGUUAUUUAUGUGUACCUUACUAAUGCUCACAGUAGCACCUGGGUAUUUGAUACUGGUUCUGUUGCUAAUAUUUGCAACUCGAAACAGGGACUACAGAUUAAGCGAAGAUUGGCUAAGGACGAGGUGACGAUGCGCGUGGGAAAUGGUUCCAAAGUCGUUGUGAUCGCGGUCGGCACGCUACCUCUACAUCUACCUUCGCGAUUAGUAUUAGACCUAAAUAAUUGUUAUUUGGUGCCAGCGUUGAGCAUGAACAUUAUAUCUGGAUCUUGUUUGAUGCGAGACGGUUAUUCAUUUAAAUCAGAGAAUAAUAGUUGUUCUAUUUAUAUGAGUAAUAUCUUUUAUGGUCAUGCGCCCUUGAAGAGUGGUCUAUUCUUAUUAAAUCUCGAUAGUAGCGACACACAUAUUCACAAUGUCGAAACCAAAAGAUGCAGAGUUGAUAAUGAUAGUGCAACUUAUUUGUGGCACUGCCGUUUAGGUCAUAUCGGUGUAAAGCGCAUGAAGAAACUCCAUACUGAUGGGCUUUUGGAACCACUUGAUUAUGAAUCACUUGGUACUUGCGAACCGUGCCUUAUGGGCAAGAUGACCAAAACACCGUUCUCCGGUACUAUGGAGAGAGCAACAGAUUUGUUGGAAAUCAUACAUACAGAUGUAUGUGGUCCGAUGAAUGUUGAAGCUCAUGGCGGAUAUCGUUAUUUUCUCACCUUCACAGAUGACUUAAGCAGAUAUGGGUAUGUCUACUUAAUGAAACAUAAGUCUGAAACAUUUGAAAAGUUCAAAGAAUUUCAGAGUGAAGUUGAAAAUCAUCGUAACAAGAAAAUAAACUUUCUACGAUCUGAUCGUGGAGGAGAAUAUUUGAGUUACGAGUUUGUUGUACAUUUGAAACAAUGCGGAAUAGUUUCGCAACUCACGCCACCCGAAACACCACAGCGUAAUGGUGUGUCUGAACGUCGUAAUCGUACUUUACUAGAUAUGGUGCGAUCUAUGAUGUCUCCUACUGAUUUACUGCUAUCGUUUUGGGGUUAUGCUUUAGAGACGACCCAAUUCAUGUUAAAUAGGGCACCAUCGAAUUCCGUUGAGACGACGCCUUAUGAACUAUGGUUUGGCAAGAAACCAAAGUUGUCGUUUCUGAAAGUUUGGGGCUGCGAUGCUUAUGUGAAAAAGCUUCAACCUGAUAAGCUCGAACCCAAAUCGGAGAAAUGUGUCUUCAUAGGAUAUCCAAAGGAAACUAUUGGAUACACCUUCUAUCACAGAUCCGGAGGCAAGACUUUUGUUGCUAAAUUCGGAAACUUUCUAGAGAAGGAGUUUCUCUCGAAAGAAGUGAGUGGGAGGAAAGUAGAACUUGAUGAGGUAACUGUACCUGCUCCCUUAUUGGAAAGUAGUACAUCACAGAAACCGGUUUCUGUGACACCUACACCAAUUAGUGAGGAAGCUAAUGAUGAUGAUCAUGAAACUUUAGAACAAGUUACUACUGGACCUCGUAGAUCAACCAGAGUAAGAUCCGCACCAGAGUGGUACGGUAAUCCUGUUCUGGAAGUCAUGCUACUAGAUCAUGAUGAACCUACGAACUAUGAAGAAGCGAUGGUGAGCCCAGAUUCCACAAAAUGGCUUGAAGCCAUGAAAUCUGAGAUGGGAUCCAUGUAUGAGAACAAAGUGUGGACUUUGGUUGACUGGCCCAAUGAUCGGCAAACAAUUGAGAAUAAAUGGAUCUUCAAGAAGAAGACUGACGCUGAUGGUAAUGUUACUGUCUACAAAGCUCGACUUGUCGCAAAAGGUUUUCGACAAGUUCAAGGGAUUGACUACGAUGAGACCUUCUCAACCGUAGGGAUGCUUAAGUCUGUCCAAAUCAUGUUAGCAAUUGCCGCAUUUUAUGAUUAUGAAAUUUGGCAGAUGGAUGUCAAAACUGCAUUCCUGAAUGGAUUUCUGGAAGAAGAGUUGUAUAUGAUGCAGCCGGAAGGUUUUGUUGAUCCAAAGGGAGCUAACAAAGUGUGCAAGCUCCAGCAAUCCAUUCAUGGACUGGUGCAAGCCUCUCGGAGUUGGAAUAAAUGCUUUGAUAGUGUGAUCAAAGCAUUUGGGUUUGUACAGACUUUUGGAGAAGCCUGUAUUUACAAGAAAGUGAGUGGGAGCUCUGUAGCAUUUCUGAUAUUAUAUGUGGAUGACAUAUUACUAAUCGGAAAUGAUAUAGAAUUUCUAGAUAGCAUAAAGGGAUACUUGAAUAAGAGUUUUUCAAUGAAAGACCUCGGUGAAGCUGCUUACAUAUUGGGCAUAAAGAUCUAUAGAGAUAGAUCAAAACGCUUAAUUGGAUUUUCACAAAGCACAUACCUUGACAAAGUUUUGAAGAAGUUCAAAAUGGAUCAAGCAAAGAAAGGAUUCUUGCCUGUGUUACAAGGUGUGAAAUUGAGUAAGACUCAAUGCCCGACCACUGCAGAAGAUAGAGAGAAAAUGAAAGAUGUUCCCUAUGCUUCAGCCAUAGGCUCUAUCAUGUAUGCAAUGCUGUGUACCAGACCUGAUGUGUGUCUUGCUAUAAGUCUAGCAGGGAGGUACCAAAGUAACCCAGGAAUGGAUCACUGGACAGCGGUCAAGAACAUCCUGAAAUACCUGAAAAGGACUAAGGAUAUGUUUCUCAUAUAUGGAGGUGACAAAGAGCUCAUCGUAAAUGGUUACGUUGAUGCAAGCUUUGACACUGAUCCGGAUGAUUCUAAAUCGCAAACCGGAUACGUGUUUACAUUAAACGGUGGAGCUGUCAGUUGGUGCAGUUCUAAAAAAAGCGUUGUGGCAGGAUCUACAUGUGAAGCGGAGUACAUAGCUACUUUGGAAGCAGCAAACGAAGGAGUCUGGAUGAAGGAGUUCAUAUCCGAUCUAGGUGUCAUACCUAGUACAUCGGGUCCAAUGAAAAUCUUUUGUGACAAUACUGGUGCAAUUGCCUUGGCAAAGGAAUCCAGAUUUCACAAGAGAACCAAGCACAUCAAGAGACGCUUCAAUUCCAUCCGGGAUCUAGUCCAGGUGGGAGACAUAGAGAUUUGCAAGAUACAUAUGGAUCUGAAUGUAGCAGACCCGUUGACUAAGCCUCUUCCACGAGCAAAACAUGAUCAGCACCAAAGCUCCAUGGGUGUUAGAAUCAUUACUGUGUAAUCUAGAUUAUUGACUCUAGUGCAAGUGGGAGACUGAAGGAAAUAUGCCCUAGAGGCAAUAAUAAAGUUAUUAUUUAUUUCCUUGUAUCAUGAUAAAUGUUUAUUAUUCAUGCUAGAAUUGUAUUAACGGGAAACAUAAUACUUGUGUGAAUACAUAGACAAACUAAAUGUCACUAGUAUGCCUCUACUUGACUAGCUCAUUAAUCGAAGAUGGUUAUGUUUCCUAACCAUAGACAUGUGUUGUCAUUUGAUUAACGGGAUCACAUCAUUAGGAGAAUGAUGUGAUUGACAUGACCCAUUCCAUUAGCUUAGCACCCGAUCGUUUAGUAUGUUGCUAUUGCUUUCUUCAUGACAUAUACAUGUUCCUAUGACUAUGAGAUUAUGCAACUCCCGUUUGCCGGAGGAACACUUUGUGUGCUACCAAACGUCACAACGUAACUGGGUGAUUAUAAAGGAGCUCUACAGGUGUCUCCAAAGGUACAUGUUGUGUUGGCGUAUUUCAAGAUUAGGAUUUGUCACUCCGAUUGUCAGAGAGGUAUCUCUGGGCCCUCUCGGUAAUGCACAUCACAUAAGCCUUGCAAGCAUUGCAACUAAUGAGUUAGUUGUGAGAUGAUGAAUUACGGAAUGAGUAAAGAUACUUGCCAGUAACGAGAUUGAACUAGGUAUUGAGAUACCGACGAUCGAAUCUCGGGCAAGUAACAUACCGAUGACAAAGGGAACAACGUAUGUUGUUAUGCGGUCUGACCGAUAAAGAUCUUCGUAGAAUAUGUAGGAGCCAAUAUGAGCAUCCAGGUUCCGCUAUUGGUUAUUGACCGGAGACGUGUCUCAGUCAUGUCUACAUUGUUCUCGAAUCCGUAGGGUCCGCACGCUUAAAGUUACGAUGACAUUUUCAUUAUGAGUUUAUAUAUUUUUGAUGUACCGAAUGUUGUUCGGAGUCCGGGAUUUGAUCACGGACAUGACGAGGAGUCUCGAAAUGGUCGAGACAUAAAGAUCGAUAUAUUGGACGGCUUUAUUCGGACACCGGAAGUGUUCGGGAGAAGUUUCGGAUAAAACCGGAGUACCGGGGGGUUACCGGAACCCCCCCGGGGGUUAAUGGGCCUCAUGGGCCCUAAGUGGAGAAGAGGAGGGGCGGCCAGGGCAGGCCGUGCGCCCCCUCCCCCUCUAGUCCGAAUUGGACAAGGAGGGGGGCNNNNNNNNNNNNNNNNNNNNNNNNNNNNNNNNNNNNNNNNNNNNNNNNNNNNNNNNNNNNNNNNNNNNNNNNNNNNNNNNNNNNNNNNNNNNNNNNNNNNNNNNNNNNNNNNNNNNNNNNNNNNNNNNNNNNNNNNNNNNNNNNNNNNNNNNNNNNNNNNNNNNNNNNNNNNNNNNNNNNNNNNNNNNNNNNNNNNNNNNNNNCUCUCCCUUCCUUCCCCCUCUCCUACUUGGACAAGGAAAAGGAGGGAGUCCUACUCCCGUUAGGAGUAGGACUCCUCCCUGGCGCGCCUCCUCCUGACCGACCGCCCCUCCCCCUUGCUCCUUUAUAUACGGGGGCAGGGGGGCACCUCUAGACACACAAGUUGAUCUUCGUGAUCGUUCUCUUAGCCGUGUGCGGUGCCCCCUCCACCAUAAUCCUCGAUAAUACUGUAGCGGUGCUUAGGAGAAGCCCUGCGACGGUAGAACAUCAAGAUCGUCACCACGCCAUCGUGCUGACGGAACUUUUCCCCGACACUUUGCUGGAUCGGAGUCCGGGGAUCGUCAUCGAGCUGAACGUGUGCUAAAACUCGGAGGUGUCGUAGUUUCGGUGCUUGAUCGGUCGGGCCGUGAAGACGUACGACUACAUCAACCGCGUUGUUAUAACGCUUCCGUUGUCGGUCUACGAGGGUACGUAGACAACACUCUCCCCUCUUGUUACUAUGCAUCACCAUGAUCAUGCGUGUGCAUAGGAAUUUUUUUGAAAUUACUACGUUACCCAACAGCUGCAUAUAUUAGAGACUUGCUUGUGCCUCCUAAUGGAUUGAUUCCAUGAUUCUUAACUGAGGGAAAUACUUAUCUCUAUUUUGUUGCAUCACCCUUUUCUCUUCAAAGGAAAAAUUAACGCAAGCUCAAGAAGUAGCAGUAGCUGAACCCAGGAAGGCAACCUGGAAGGAGAAUCUGCUAUGGUAUUGCCUGUUGUAGGAGAGACGACUACAACAAGAUCUAACAGUCAUGGUUAUACACACAGCUUGGAAAUUGAUUCUCCCUCUCGUACUGAGAGUCCUGCUGCCAGGUCAGAUUUUGUUCUAGUGGCAUAGCGCCGAGACUGCAUACAAAUUUAUCCUGAGUGGCUGGCGUAAAUUGUAUCAAGCAAAAGGAUGUGGACAGCUCUCAAACAAUUUCGAGCAGAUGGGAAGCAUGGAGAGGUUAGUAUAUACUCAUGUUUUGGUCUGCUCUGUCAUCAAAUAAUUUUCAUUCUGUGUUAAUUAUCACGUAACAUAAGGAGUGUUUGCUUGAUGAGCAUUCAUACCAAAUGAUGAACUAAUUAGAUCCUAGGUUAUCCAAAAGAUAACAUUGUGUUUUGCUUCAGUUGCCUGAUAGAUUUUCAGCCUUUGCGUCAAAAUGAUUUUAUGCAUUUGUUUUCGCACUACCUUGUAUUUUAUUUAAGGACAACCAUGCAUACAUGUAAAAAAACUCAUGGCCACUUGUGUGGUUGAUAUAAAUCAGUUAACAUCUCAAUUUCCCCAUGUGCUAUUGUAUGACUACGGAGUUUUUUUUUAACAUGCUCCCUCUUACCUCCCAUUUUCACAUGAGAUGUAAGAGUAUAAAAUAAAUCUGAGUCGUUGAUUGCAUUAGGUAGUGAACUUGAAUAAAUAUUACCUUCUUAACACCCAUGUGAAAAUAUGGGGUAAGAGGGAGCAUGUUAAAAUUGCUCAUGAAUGAGGGCAUGGCCAUAGCAGCGCUGCCUAUUCUAUUAACGGAACGAAUCCAUUAGAGUUCUCUUAUAGAAAUUCAUGACUGCCAUUGUUGAUGCUGAACCUAGGUGGCACUACCGCCAGUGGCGGAGCUUGAGCAUAAUCCAAGAGGGCCAUUACUUGAAGGGGAGAAAAUUAGUAGCAAACGAGGGGCUAAUCUCUAGCUUAAACACUAGUUAGACUUAAAAUAUUGUAUAUUCUUUUAUGGAUGCAAAAAUUAAGGGGGGCAUGGCCUCCGUUGGUCUACAUGAAGCUCUGCCACUGGCUGCCACACAUUCUACAGUGUUGUUAUAGCCAUUGACAGAAUCUUGUUUUUGCACUAUAUUCCAAUGGUCUAGCAGUGAUAAGACACCAAUUUGUCAGGAUCUCGACUUUUGGCCUUCUGCUAUGAUGCACUAAAGAUAUUGAUAAGUCUCGCCAUUCCUGGAUGUUGUGAACGUUACUGGACUAGAAUAAAUUAUUCUGGAGAAGGAUAUGGCGGCAUGACAAACCUAAACCACGAUGAUGCAAUGAAUAGAAUGUGAUCUAGAAUGACAUUCUCUCCGGGUGCACACCAGAGAGCAUACAAAUAGGGUCUGCAUGGAUGAUCAAAACACAUGGCAUCUUUUUGAGAAACUAACCCAUCCUUUUUUCUUUGAUCUACUAACAUUGGUUUCAAGUUAUUGGAGAAGUUUCUUGUAGUGAUUGGUUAAAAUAAUUCACACCUGUUCACCUAUUCAUGCUAUGUUUUACAAUUUGAUCCCGUAAUAUAGAUGAUGAUUAUCUAUUUUUUCUAAAAUAGUGCAUCUACCUCUAAUUCUUUGGCAUUGAACUAUNNNNNNNNNNNNNNNNNNNNNNNNNNNNNNNNNNNNNNNNNNNNNNNNNNNNNNNNNNNNNNNNNNNNNNNNNNNNNNNNNNNNNNNNNNNNNNNNNNNNNNNNNNNNNNNNNNNNNNNNNNNNNNNNNNNNNNNNNNNNNNNNNNNNNNNNNNNNNNNNNNNNNNNNNNNNNNNNNNNNNNNNNNNNNNNNNNNNNNNNNNNNNNNNNNNNNNNNNNNNNNNNNNNNNNNNNNNNNNNNNNNNNNNNNNNNNNNNNNNNNNNNNNNNNNNNNNNNNNNNNNNNNNNNNNNNNNNNNNNNNNNNNNNNNNNNNNNNNNNNNNNNGCUUUCAACCAAUAUGAGUUUGAUCUAACCCAGAUCAUCCUUCGGGCCGGGUCGGGUUCCAACGGGGCUUGACAAAGCCCGAAGUCAACAUUCCAAGCCCGAGCCCGGUUGGACCGGCCCGAAGCACAUGAACAAUGUCUUUUCAAUUAAACUAGUUAUAUUUGGGAUAUUAAGAUCAUAUAAUAUACCUAUAUUUUGAAUGAAAUAUAGAUUUGUUGCCAUUUCGGGCUUUUAGGCCGGGGUUCGGGCGAGAAAUUGAAGCCCAAGCCUAUCCCAGAUGCUGGGCUUCGGGCCUCUGGGCUGGGUAGUCCAUGAACAGGUUUAUUUUCAUCUAUUCACUCACAUUUGGAUCCUUGUUCAUCAUAGCAUUUAGCCAUAAUUCAUAUGAACAUGAACCACGGGAAUCUCUACUCCUAAUAUAUGAGUUGGUAGUCUCGUCUCACUCUGGUUAAUUCUUCCCCACCGUUUUCAUCCCACCAACGCAUUUAAACCGGAUUCUACACAUGAUCUAUUUAAACCGAUUUUAUCUGACAAUAAGAUCAAUUUUGGUAGUAUUUGGUAACCAUUUAUAUGGAAAGGAAUAAAUCAUGAUCAAUCUUUAAUCAAUUACUAAAGACAAAAUCUUUCCCUAAUAAUAAAGCACGGAUUGAGUCUGUCAGGUUCACCGUCACACAAUUUUCAAAAAAGACCCUGACGUUUGUAAUAAUCAACCCGCAGUCCACCAAAGCCCAAGCGUAAGUGAAAAAAAACGGUUCAUACGCAGCCCUCACUCGCCCGUCGCUGAAAUUGCUCCCCCAGUCCCCCGCACGAGAACCUCAUUUCUUCCGCCGCUGCGCCCCUAUCCCUCCGCCGCUGCCGUCCCUCCACUCUUCGGUGCCCGUCCUGGAUCUGAGGUCUCCAAAUCCAGACGAUAUCCACAGGAUCCGCCGCAUCUCCCGCGAAACCCAGCUGCGAGCUGCUCGUCGGCCAUGCGGGGAGCACGGACGAGCUGCUCAUCGACGUCCGUCCCACAGGCCCGGCGACGACGGUGCCCAGCGAAAUUAAGUCAUGCUUGCAAUUAUAUAAUCCUUCAAUCAAUAACUCUCCUAGAGAAACGAAUUUUUCUUAGGGGAAAUUAACUCAGUAGCAACCAGAGGGUGUAAAAAUGCGAGAGAUGACACUGAAAAAGUGUUGCAUCAUGACAGUAUCCACUAUUGUUUUCUCAGAAUAUUAUGGACACUUUUGGGGUUUGGCCCUUUUAGCUACGUAGUGACCAUGACCGCAUUUUUUCAUACCUAACAAAUUCGACCUUAUUGAAGCAGCCUCAUGAACAAAUCAGAGAUCAGACUCUAUGGUCUGUAGCCAACCGCUUUUUUCAUGUAAUUAUGUUAAGAAAAGAGAAACCAUAGCAUGCAAUGCCUACCAGCCAGCUGCUAAUAAGCACCUUCUCGAGCUCCUGUGAAUGUCUACGGUCAGCACACAGUCGCACAGUCAUUGGGGCAGCCGUCCAGUUUAUAGAUGGGGGCAUGGGGCAUAAUUGCACAGUUAAUACUAUAGUAAAUAAAUUAAUAUUCCAGUUACUAAUCUUUUGUGCAUUAUAUCAUAGAGCGUAGACAUCAGGUUUCAGUUUGACUCAUGGAUGUAUCAGGGACCUCUCAGGUUGAGCUUAGGUUUCAAACUUCAUGCCUGCAUAUACCGCCCAGUUCCGGUUGCUUGAGAUCACAUCCCUCACCUUCGCCCCAGUCUGCGGGUAGGAGUAGAGUAUUCUGAUCUAGAAUAUCUUCCUGUGGUUGUGGGCCUUGUGGCAACAGAAUUUUAGUUUUUCCGAUUGUUGUUGGACCCUACAGUUGUAAUACUUGAGCUCUAUCUAAACGUUUUUAUAUAUAGGUAUGCUUGCAUUGACACCUAAUCAGAAUAGGUUUUUAGAAUUAAUUCAUAGUUUGUUAACGAAAUUGGUAAACGAUUGCAGCCAUCUAAUUGGUGGUAUGGUGUGCUUCUGACGGUAUUUCACGGCGUUUGUACCAUCGGCAUAGUAACUAAAAACUCUCGUUAACACAGCUAUUUUAUCGUUUCUGGAGGGCCUCACGGAUGAGCUGUGGCGGCACCAUGACAGUCGUUUAGAGGAUCCGCGUGAACAAAUGAACAAGCAAAAUGUCAUCAGUCACAGCAUCCAUGCCAACUGCCCAAGAUGACCGCUAAGGCAAUUCAUAUUCUCUUUCAAUCUUCAACCACCAUCUGAUGUUUACUGAUCUUGAUCUUCCCCACUCGCCAUUCUGAAGACACUUCAGAUCUCACAUUAACUUCAUUCAGUCUUUAAGAAUAACCAAAGGUAUGUUACAAUAGCCUUCUUUAAAUAGUUUAAUCUAUAUUUUACAACUAAACAAACCUUCCAAAUGUGUCGAUAUCAUUUUCACUAAUAUGCAUCUCAAAGCUAUGGCUCAUACGCCCAUACAAGAAAGGACAACUGACUAGAUUGAGGAUACGUUAUGCAAGAAAGCUAUAUAUUCAUGGUAAUAUUAACCCUACUCUUGAGAGAGAGAGAGAGAGAGAGAGAGAGAGAGAGAGAGUCCAUCAGAGACAUGUAUACUCAAGGUUUUCUAGUUUUCUAGACAAGUGAGGGAGACGUGAGAGUGUUUUUAAAAGAAGUGUGUGAGAGAACUUGUGUGUCAGGAGAGCUUUUUACAGAUAGUUAUCCCAGGCAAUCUCGUAACCUCCCACGUCGCCCCCGCAGGCGACGGGGAGGAACCUAGCCCACGCCGAGCGCCUCCCCUCCCCCUCCCCUCCUCUGCCCUGCCGCCGCCACAGGGCGUGACCGGGCGAAGCCUGGCCAGCGCCGGCGGAGGCAGGGAUCUCUGCCCCCUUGCUCGUUGGGUCCGGUGCGGGCCGGAGUUGAUGGGCCAGGGCGUCGCGAUCUGGAGUCUUGCGGCGGCGCGUCUCGAUGUGGUGGGAUGCGUGGCAAAUCUCCGCAGGUGGCGCCCGUCUUUUGUUUGCAGCGGCGGUGACCUGGCCCAGAUGCCCCGUUUGAUGGCAACGGGUGGCGAGGGCUGCGCACGGCAUGAUACGGCGGCUGGUGCCAUCCUUUGGGUGGUGGUGGCCGGCAGUGAAGGUGGCCGGGGACUGAACUUGGGCCAUGAAGACAGCUCAUUGGAGAUCCUCGAAGAUCGGGCGGUUCCUUACGUCUUCUUGGCAUGACACCGGCCGGUUCCAGUCGGCUACGGGUCGGGUUGGUACAACCGCCGAUGAAAAUCGCGCCGACUUCGGUCUUGGCGGUCGAUGGCGGCGUCUUUGACGUCGUUUCCUUGUCGAGGCAUCGUCGUUGCGGUCUGCGCCAUAUCGCUCGUGCUGCUCCUAGGGAAACCCUAGAUCCGGGUCUCCCGGAUCAAACAAUGACAAAGGCUUCGUGACGUUCUCCCUCUCGAGGGCAUUGUUUUGGAGCACGUGCUGACUGGAGAGGCUACGAGUUGAUGUGGCGUGACAUAUACCGCAUCAACGGCGGCGGGUCUCGGUGGCGUGGCGCCGCAUGGUCUCGGCGAGAGAUGCGUGAUUGGACGCGCGCAGGGAGGUGGUGCUGUCUGGCGUCGUGGCGGCGUCGACGGCGGGCCUGGCAAGGUCAAUGCGUCAGUACUUGUUCUGAAGACGGAUCGGUGGAAGACGGCGGCGGCGGCCUCUCAGAGUGCGCCAAAUCGGUCUGUGACCCAGUCCCGGUAUGUGGCUGGGCUGGGGCACCCGACUUUAGAUGCUAGGCUUUGGUGCGCUGUCUGUUUGGUAUUCGGCUCGGACAGUCGGCACCCCUUCAUCACGGGGAUAGUAGUAGUGACAUGUGUUGUCUAGAUGGUGGCUUCAGGCUUACUGAUGUACUAAUACUUUGUAAGGUUUUUGUGAAUAAUUAAUAAAAUGGCUGCAUACAUCUUUCAGAUGCAGAGGCCGGAGGUUUAUCCUCCUUUUCUAAAAAAAAAAGGGAGAGCUUUUUAUUUUUAUAGUCAAAUCGUGCAGCAUGUGUGAGAGGGCGAGAGCGCGUGAGAUAGACAGCAUGCAUGUGAAAUAAUCGGGUGAGAGAUGUCCAACAAUCCUCCGGUGUCCACAUAGGCACAGAAACUAAGCCCGGUUAUUAGAACGGUCAGUUCUGACAUGCACCAGGCCAGCGCACCCAUCUUCAGGUUUUCGAAUGGCUGGAUAUACAAGUGCAUGUCGCGGGGCUGCAGCGAUCCAUAUAGCUACUAGUUUCCCUUUGCAUGCCCUAUUCGUGAUAUAUUUCUUUGUUUUAUGUACAUCUUUGCAAGCUUGCGUGGGCCUACUAUGCGGGGCACCUUUUCUGUAAUGCAAAUUCAUAUAUGCCACAUUUUUUUGGUAACGACCAAUAACUACGAAGAACUAUUUUAGUAAGUAAUAGAUUUUGACACAAAAUCUAUGGUUUUUUUUUUAGAAAAGAGGGAUGACCCCCGGCCUCUGCAUCCGGGAGAUGCAUACGACCAUUUUAUUGAUUAAUCUCGAGGACCUUACAAAGUAUUACAACAAUAAGUCUAAAUCCACCAUCUUGGCAACACAUGCCACUACUCCUACCCAAAAUGAUGAAGGGGUGCUAGCUGGGCCACUACCCAAACCACUCACCUAAGCCUAACAUCAAAAGCCGGAAACCGAAACAUAUUCGGAAUCCCCAGCCGAGCCACAUACCGGGUCUGGGUCACAAUCCGGUCAGACGCACUCAUGUGUCGUCGCUAUCAUCUUCCGCAGGUCCGUCUUCAGAUCAUAUUGAGGCUUCUACCUUGUCUAGCCACUCAGCCAUCGGCGUCACCAUGACGCCAGACAGCAACCUCCUCCUGCGCGAGUCCAUCUCCGCGCAUCGGGCGGCGAACCUCCACAGCGCCAUGCCGCCGAUCCUCGCCGCCAUCAAUGAGUGAGAUGAAGUACCGCUCCAUCACGGCAUGUACAUUAGUGCUAAGCGGAACGGCUCACAACCGCAAGUCAUCGAACGAAGGCGAAGAUCCAUGGAGAAGGCCAAAAGGGGCAUAGCCAAAGCGGUGGUCAGGGAUUGGACCGGGACCACGGCAGCCGCCACUGAGAAGAACAGGCUACCUCACACCGUCACCACGCCACCAGCAGCUCCACCCCACACGAGCAAUCCCCGGAAGACGCCUUCAAGAAGGAGCACGGCACCGGAUGCCGCCAUCGACCAUGCAAGGGGAGGGCAGGUCUUCACCUGUGCUCGAGGGAAAGGUGGGAGGGGAGAACCACACCAAGCCCUCCAGGAAGGACCACGGCGCCGAAGACGUCGCCUUUGGUGAGGCCGCCGCGCCGGCCAGGGGUUUCCCCCGGAAUCACGCCCAACCACCAGAUCCGUCCGUCCAGACCCCCAAGACGGCGACCGAAGCCACCAGGGGCUGGAGCAGGGCGCAGAUCGGAGCAGAUCACGGGCGGGAACGGAGCUUCUCCAGGAGCGCAGGACGACCCACGCGGGGGCGCCGCCUCGCCAACGCCCGCCACCCCCCCGCCGACCGCACGGCCAGGGAGGCAGCCCNNNNNNNNNNNNNNNNNNNNNNNNNNNNNNNNNNNNNNNNNNNNNNNNNNNNNNNNNNNNNNNNNNNNNNNNNNNNNNNNNNNNNNNNNNNNNNNNNNNNNNNNNNNNNNNNNNNNNNNNNNNNNNNNNNNNNNNNNNNNNNNNNNNNNNNNNNNNNNNNNNNNNNNNNNNNNNNNNNNNNNAGCACCCGCCGGCGCAGCCCGCCGCACCGGCCACGCCGGACACCUCCCAUCGGAGCCGCCGCCCCGGACGCCGUGGCCCUCCGCGAAGGCGAAGCCACCAGAUCCCCGCCGCCACCUUCAUAGGCGUCGCGCGGCCGGGCCGGCGAGCACCUCAGGCGGCGGCGGAGGGAGGGGAGAGGGAGGGGGAGGCGCGGAGGGGAUUAGGGUUCGCCCCCGGGUCGCCUCAGGCGAGGGGACGCGAGGGGACGCGAGCCGUUGAAGAUGAUGGGAUAAAAUGGGAGUACCCUCAGUGAUCUGCCACACAAAAUCUAUGGUAGUAAUGACAUUCUGAAUCUUUCCCCAAAGCUACCCACGUACAAUGGAUCCAGAUUUUAUACUCUAUAUAGAGACUGAAUUGUGUUUACAUAAUUGUGAAAACACAAGGAUAUAUAUUAGCAACGCUCUUUUUGGCAGCAAGUAAUUAAAACUUAAUACGUGGUAGCUGUACUUUGCUGGUGACAACAUUAGCUGUAGAAAGCAACACGGUUUGAUCGACCCCCCCCCCCNNNNNNNNNNNNNNNNNNNNNNNNNNNNNNNNNNNNNNNNNNNNNNNNNNNNNNNNNNNNNNNNNNNNNNNNNNNNNNNNNNNNNNNNNNNNNNNNNNNNNNNNNNNNNNNNNNNNNNNNNNNNNNNNNNNNNNNNNNNNNNNNNNNNNNNNNNNNNNNNNNNNNNNNNNUUUCUCUUCGUCUACACACUCCCACCUUGCUCUCAUAUCAGUAGGGGAAAAAUCAUCCCAGGGCUCCCUGCCAAGCAUAUCCCCGUUCUACCCUCCACAAACCAGGUUGGCUUUCAUCUACCUUCCUUGAAUAUAUGCUCCUCAUCCCAUUUCUGAUUCCUCAUUUUAUUAACUUGUUGGUAACUAGGGCAAGAUGGAUCUACGUGUUGAAAAAGCAGAAGAUUCGAGUGAUUCGAGUGAAAGAACUAUCAGCAAUAGUUCUAUGGGGAUCAGCAGUAGUUCCAUUGGUCCCGAUGGCCUUGAGAUUGAUUCUGCCUCCCCUGCUGGGAGGGCUGUUGUCAGCUCUGAAUCUUUACCAGUGGCACAACCCGGAGACUACAUAGAUAUACCUCUCCCUCAGUGGCUGAAGGAUAUAGAUUCAGGAGCAGGGAUGUGGACAGCUGUUAAACAAUUUCGAAAAGAUGGGAAGCACUAUGGCAAGGUUAGUGUACUCAUGUUCUUCUGCGGUCUUUCCACUAAUAAUUUUUUCUGUGUGCUAAUCCCUAAUCAUCUCAUAGCAUAUGGAGUGUUUACGUGAUGAGUAUUCAGACAAAAUGAUAAAUUAUUUAGAUUCAAAAAGAUGUGUUUUAAUUGAGUUAUCUUAUAAAUCUUUGAUCUUUGGCGUCCCAAUAAUAUUCUGCAUAAGUUUCCGCACUAGUUUGUACUGUAUUUGGUUUUGCACAACCAUGCAUAUAUGUGAAACAAGACAUAGGGCACAUUGAUACCAUGUUAUUAUAGAAUUCUCUUCUGUACUGAAUGGUUAAAAUAAUUAAAACCCACUCGACUAAUCAUGUGACGUUUGACCAUCUGAUGCCAUAAAUUCAAAAACGUAAUAUCAAAAUAAUGCAUUAACAAUAUGUAAUUAUUUGGUGUUCAACUAAACAAUUGAAUUUGCCAUAGUAUUUAACCCAGAAUUCAACCAGUGUGACUCUGAUCUGUCGACACACUUGAUGUCCACUUGUCAUAGCACUUAACCAUAACUUAUGAACAUGCAACACAGAAAUAUAAUAAAAGAAUUUUUAGUAUAGAAUGCUCGGUUGUCUGCUCUCACCGUAACAUUUUUCCUUAUUUUUAUAUUAACAACACAUUUUUUCAUUAAAAUAGUAAAUUUCUCCUUUUGUAUUCAAAUCAUGUAUAUGUCAAAUUAACUAUAUCUUUUUUGUUCAUUUCAGUACUACUUUCACAAGGAAUAUAGUCACAGGUUCCGCUCCAAACCCAACGUUUUAGAGUUCCGAAAAACAGGAACUGUAAAUGGGGAGCCAGUUAAGAAGGUGCCUAAAUACUUGACAUCAAAGCAUUUACUAAUUGUACAAACAUGUAUAUGAUUAUGUAUUUUCAUAUAUAUUUACAAGUGUAAAUUUAAUAUGGUAUUCUAUGUUUUGACAGAGAUCUGCUGAUAUUUCUACGGACAAUCAUGGUAUGCGUAAUUUCACCGAUGCAUUUGAAUAUAUUUCUCUAUUAUUACUGUGUGGAAUUCAAAAACUUACAGUGAAAAUGUAAUCCAUAUCAUGGAAAGAAAUGGACUUAUACAUGAACUCAACAUAAAAUAGUCAGUAGUGCAGUUACUCAACUUACACUAGUAGAAAAAGGGUCAAACGUGAAGCACAUUAGUGCCGGUUUGAUUUUGGCCCGGUACUAAUGGUAUCAUUAGUGCCGGUUCUAACGGAUUUGCAUUAAUGCCGGUUCGUGUUGAACCUUUAGUACCGGUUCGUGGCACGAACCGGUACUAAAGGGAUGGUGGCAGGCUGGCGUCAGGCCGGGGCCCCACGAGCCUCUUUAGUCCCGGUUUGUGGCACAAACCGGUACUAAAGGGCCAACCUUUAAUACCGGUUCGUGCCACGAACCGGCACUAAAGAGGUCUAACCUAUAGUCCCGGUUGGAGUCACAAACCAGGACUAUAGGGCAAUUUUCAAACUUGAAAAAAUCAUAACUAAAUCAUCCUAAUUCAGAAAAAUACAUAUAAUAUAUCAAAAUUUGCAGAACAAAAAGAUUGAUCCGCUGAAACAAAAUUCACAAACCAGUUUUCCGUUUCGACAAUUUUUUAAAAUCACAAAAUUCCAAAGGGAAAAUAGAGUUUUUGGGCGUUUUAGACGUUUUUUAGGCGUUUUUAGCGUUUAGUGCUAGGGUUUAGAUUUUAGAGUUUAGGGUUAGGUUUUAUGGUUUAAACCCUUAGUUUUUACUGUUUAGCAUAGAGAUUCCAACGUUUUAAGUCCCGGGUUUAGGGUUUAGGACAAUUUUUGAAAUGACAAAAUUGUAAAAGGAAAAAAAGAUAUGCUCUAAUUUAUGUUUUUUUGAUUUUUGGUUAAAUCUUGUCAAACCGGUCAAACAACUGAUUCAAGAAAUAUAGAGUGUUACUAAAUAAUUACGCAAUAAUAUUAGUGUUACUAAAUAAGUAUCUCAGUUUUUUUGAAUUUUGGUCUAAUCUAAACUACUUAUUCAAGAAAUAUUAGUGUUACUAGAUAAUUAUUCAAGAAUAUUAGUGUUACUUAAAUAAUUAUUUCAAUUUUUUGAAUUUUGGUCAAAUCUGGUCAAACUAUGGUCAAACUUAUUUAAGAAAUAUUAGCGUUACUAAAUAAUUACUGUUUUUUUUAGAAUAAUAGUUUCAAACUCAAACGAUGAAAUGUGUGACUUCAUGCUCAAGCUAAACUCCUGAUGGUUAAUAGGAUUGACAUCUUACUAUUGUGAGGAAAACAACAAGUGCAGACUCGGAAACGAAGAAAAAUAGAUCCUGAAAGUUAAGUGUGCUCGGGCUGGAGUAGUGAGAGGGAUGGGUGACCGGUCGGGAAGUUAGAUGAUUUGGAAUGAGUGAUCCACACUUGAGCAGUUAAGAGAGGUGAUUAGAGACUAAAUCAUCAAAUAAUUCAGAAAAAUUAAAAAUCAAAAAAAAUCAGAAUUUUUUUCCAAAAUUUUCAAAAAAAAAAUCAAAAAAAAACCUUUAGUACCGGUUGGUAACACCAACCGGUACUAAAGGUCUCCCCAUACCAGGGCACGAGCUCACGCCACGUGGUGGCACUUUAGCGCCGGUUCGUGCCGAACCGGUACUAAAGGGGGGGCCUUUAGUGCCCACACUUUAGUGCCGGUUCCAUAACCGGCAUUAAAGGCCCUUACAAACCGGUUUUAAAGCUCCGUUUUCUACUAGUGUUAACUUAAUAUGGAAUUGACAUUAUUUUAGGUUAUUUCGUUAGAUGAUAAAGAAAAUGGUUUAUAUAAAUGUUACAUAGGAACCUCCGCGUGAUUGCAGUUACAUAGUUUUACAAUGAUAUUACUUGUUUAAUUUCAUACAAUAUCUGUGUAUCAUUCCAUCUGGACGAACAAUCAUGCGGGGGACAAGUUCAAGAAAUGCUUCUAGUGAACAAGCAGUAAUUUUGUAUAACUCAUGGAGGAUGUAACUUGUUGGUGGUGUUAAAUACUUUGAAACCCUUGAAAUCUUUUGAGCUAGCAUUAUUUUUGCAAUUAUUUCACGUACAAAUGCAUACAUCAAGAUAUCUAUCAUAUUAGUGUGAAAACAUCUUCCGUGGUCUACUUGCACAUAUGCAUUAUUCUUUGAUAUUUUUUGUAUCACAGUUACCUUUUAUUAUAGCAAGAUAAAAAGUUUAUCUACCUACAAUGUCUGCAGACUAUAGACGGGCCACCAAAAGACAAAGGACGACGGCGCCAACUAUAAGUAAUCCUUCUUGCAUACCACAUAGGUUUCUCUGAUUUUGAGAGGGUAUCACUUGUAACGUUGUUCAAUAUUUAAAGUAGCUUCACAGUCAUGUAUGCUAGUAGUUAUUUUUAGAACAAUUUCAUGACAAAAUGCAAAAAGUCAACAAAAAUGUAUAGUUCCUGAUGAUUCCUAGUUGCAUGAUCACUAAGCAUUACACACCUUCUCUGGUAGAAGUUGUUAUCUCAAUAUGUAUUUAUUAUAUAUUAUUAUCUGUGAUUGUUGGGUGAAGAAUAUUUGCUGCUCAUGCUUAGAAUUUAUGCCUUUAUUAAUACAACAACAUAGAGAAAAAGAAAAUACAGAUCAAAAUAAAUCAUCAAUUUAAUAUUAAAUGUUUCUGACUAGUUUGAAUGGAUGUGUUAUGCAAUUAUAAUACUUCUAUGUUCAUAAUAUUUUAUCCAUAAAAUGUGCAGGUUCUAGUUUGACGACAGGAGGACGAACAACCCCAACUUCUACAAAACUUCCACAUGGUUUUGUCUAAUUUCAUGUAGAUCGCAUUGAGAUGUUCGAGAUUAUUUGUAGUGCCAAAAAUAUGUUGGGUGCAGCGUGAUUUGAAAAUUAAUAUGUACUUUCGUAAUAUAUGUGAUACUUGGUGGUGGUUGUUGAGGAAUAUAUUUCACUAGACUGUUAUAUUUUGCAUAAUUAUUUGACUAAUGAGUGCUUAUUUGAUAAAUGAGUACAUAUACCUUUAAUCCUAAAAAGAUUAUCAGCUAGACAUCCAUUCGAGGAAGUUGUGUUCUUAUGAAUUGUCCCCAAUAGGGAAUUUUGACAAUGGAAGACAGUCGUAGAACCUCCUGAUUAUUGCAGUUACUCAACUUCUGAUUUCUGAAUUCCUAAUCGUACCUAUUUUAGCCACUAUGAGUAAUAAAAGACACUUUCUUAAUGCAUGGGCAGGCUAAUACUAGUGCACCAACUUCAGUCGCACAAUGUAGGACACCCAUUCCUUAUCUGCCGUAGAAGACUGAAGAACGCCUUGUAGGAUUAAUCAUACGUGAACCACCAGCUGUAGGAUUAAUCAUUCCCUAAUAAAAAAAUCUAUAGGAUCGUUGACAUCUCNNNNNNNNNNNNNNNNNNNNNNNNNNNNNNNNNNNNNNNNNNNNNNNNNNNNNNNNNNNNNNNNNNNNNNNNNNNNNNNNNNNNNNNNNNNNNNNNNNNNNNNNNNNNNNNNNNNNNNNNNNNNNNNNNNNNNNNNNNNNNNNNNNNNNNNNNNNNNNNNNNNNNNNNNNNNNNNNNNNNNNNNNNNNNNNNNNNNNNNNNNNNNNNNNNNNNNNNNNNNNNNNNNNNNNNNNNNNNNNNNNNNNNNNNNNNNNNNNNNNNNNNNNNNNNNNNNNNNNNNNNNNNNNNNNNNNNNNNNNNNNNNNNNNNNNNNNNNNNNNNNNNNNNNNNNNNNNNNNNNNNNNNNNNNNNNNNNNNNNNNNNNNNNNNNNNNNNNNNNNNNNNNNNNNNNNNNNNNNNNNNNNNNNNNNNNNNNNNNNNNNNNNNNNNNNNNNNNNNNNNNNNNNNNNNNNNNNNNNNNNNNNNNNNNNNNUGGUUUCUGGUCGUACGUCAUAAAAACUACCCUCGAAGUUGGUAAGAAUUACCCACCAAUACCACCCGUAAGUGGCAAAAACGAUUAGGUGGCCGCUGGUUGCGUUCAUGUACAGCUAGGCCCUUGCAUUGUCAAAAAUUACACAAGUAGCCGAUUGGUUAUUGCACAACUCUCCCAGCAGGGAGACCUGGGUUCGAUCCUCAGCUUUGUCCCAUUUUUCUGCCUUUCCCCAGCUUCGGCCCAGCUCAUUUUUUCCCGCAGAUUCAAACAUUAUUUGAAAAAUUCAUAUCUUUUAAAUGCUAACUCUAAAUUAAAUCUCGAGCCUCAUACUAAACUUCGUCAUACGCAUGACCCCCGUGCAGAUCAUAUCUGCAAUGCCCUUUCAUAUUCAUAUCUUUUAAAUGCUAACUCUAAAUUAAAUCUCGAGCCUCAUACUAAACUUCGUCAUACGCAUGACCCCCGUGCAGAUCAUAUUUUUUAAAUGCUAACUCUAAAUUAAAUCUCGAGCCUCAUACUAAACUUCGUCAUACGCAUGACCCCCGUGCAGAUCAUAUCUGCAAUGCCCUUUCAUAUUCAUAUCUUUUAAAUGCUAACUCUAAAUUAAAUCUCGAGCCUCAUACUAAACUUCGUCAUACGCAUGACCCCCGUGCAGAUCAUAUCUGCAAUGCCCUUUCAUCUGCGAAUUUCAUCUUUCUUUUGACUACGGCAGAACCCAAAGAACUGAUAGCACUUCUAUGAUCAAUCAGGAUCACGGAUUGCUAGAACUUUGUCAAAUUCCACCAUGCUGUCUCGAGAUUGAGCAAACGCAAAUUCUAGGGAAGUAACAAGAACGUCGGGUAACAGAUUUCAUCUGUCACCCGCAUAAAUAAUUUUUAGCAAUAGAUCUCAUCUACUACCUAAUUAUAUUAUACAAUACCCAUACAUCUCCAUGUAUUCUAUAUCGAAACCUGCAUCUACGCAUAGCACGGCUCUUGAUGUCACUGUAGGGUAACGCAGCAGAAAACAAAAAUUUUCCAACCUACGCACCAGCCCAGGACCACUAUGAAGACUGCAUACAUGGUUUGAUCCUUUUCGUUACCGACUCGUAGCGCAGCGGGAAGUAGAGUCGAUGACGAUCGGCGGUGCAGAUCCCCGCAGCUAGGAUUUACAACCUCCCAACCGCGAGGAUGUAUACCCUUAUCCGCCCCACGGACAGCCCUCCGGGAGGCGGUCGGACAGUCCCUCGGACGGUGUCGCGGACAGCCCUCCGGGAGGACCCUCAAAACUCGGACGGUCACUCGGACAGCCCUUCGGGAGGAUUCACAGAACUCGGACCGUCACUUGGACAGCCCUUCUGGAGGCACUCUCAAAACAGCCCCUCGGGCAAAAGGAUCGAAACUACGACCUCUACGGGGUUGCACACAUACGGUGUCAUCUAUCCGGCAGGGCUUCGCCGUCUAGAACUAGUUCCUGCCGGAACCCAGACAGCCUUACAGCUCUACGAAACUCUUUUCGUGGGAGGGAGAGAAGAAGCCACAUAAUGCAUGGCAUGUGUAUGAGAGCAAGGGAUGAUCCUUUAGGCAGCCCCCUCCACCCCUAUUUAUAGGCCAAGCCCAAGGGUGGCUUCUCCAAGAAGCCAAGGGGGGAAAUACCAAAAAGGCCCUAAAGGUGGCUUCUCCAAGAAGCCAAGCAAAAAGCACUUUCACUAUUCAUGACGACAUUUUUCAGUGUCCGUUCGAACUGAAAAUAUUUAUGUGGGCUCAGAACAUUUCCAGUACCCACUAAAACUAUUUUCAAUGCGUUUCGAAACAAUUUCAGUUUAGUGAUUUUCAUCUGCGAAAAGCAAACAAGAAUGUGUUUUCACUAUUCAUGAAGACAAUUUUUCGCGUCCAUUAAAUCCGAAAAUAUUUCUAUGGGUCUUAGAGUAAUUCCAGUACCCACUAAAAUGAUUUUGGAUUCAUUCUGAAACAAUAUCAGAUAAGUAAAUUUCAUCUGCGAAAAACAAGCAAAGCGGUACUGGCAGCUCCGGAACAUUUCCGGUUUUUAUCCCAAAAAAUUCAAAAAAGCUUCCAGAAUGAUUCUCGCAUCCUCCAAGAAUUAUCAGGCAUGUGCCAAAACCAAUUUGACUUAAUGGUAUAUCCCGAAACAACUUUUCGGUAUCAUCGAAACUUAUCCGAUGACCUCUCUCUGCGGUACGAUUCCGCUGUCCGAAACUUUUCCGGUGUCCUAAACUUUUUCGGUGAUUUUCUCUCAAACUCCUUGUCUAGUAUUCAACAGAUAGAUGACCCUUAAGCGUGUGACCCUAUAGGUUCGGUGAAGUAUAGACAUGACCGGAACCCUUUCCAAUCAAUGAUCAACUUCGGAGCCGUGGACACCCAUAUUGACCCCUAUACCCACACGAAUGAAUAUUCGAGUGAACCUCCAGUUGCCGUGUGCUAUUCUUGUUGCUUCGCGAUAUGUUACAAAUACCCGAGGUGAGACAUGUUGGCAUUCCCGUGGAUCAACAACUUGUCCACUAUGCUAGUUACCUCGUUACGGGUAUUGUUCUCUUUUCUUGUUUCUAUGUUCCGGCAUCCCUGUGAUCAAAUCACAAAGUGUCUGGCCAGACGAUGAUGGAUACCGUAACACCGCGAGGGCCCAGAGAUAUCUCUCCAUCGUCGGAGGAGCAAAUCCCAAUCUUGAGCUAUUAAGUUACUUUACAUACUUUUCCAUGAACCCGUAAGCCGCCGUACUAGCCACCCAUUUACGGAUGACGUUUAACAAACCCCAAAGUUCAUGAAGCAAGCAUGAAGAAACUCGAUACUCUCUACCAUUAACUUCUGACGAAUGUAUCUCAUAGCAUAACAUCAAUUCGGGUCGAUUCAACACAAAUGUUCUUUUAACAUUGUGCCCUCAAAGUUGCUGGCAUUGACAUGCCCAUGAUCAGGAAAACAGAACCAUCAUGCAACACUUGAGCUAGUCUUAGAGGCUAGACUAAGAAUACUUCUUACCGUUUUUUAUUCCACACGUGCAUAUGAGUCUUCCUCCGAGCCUCGUGGAUAUUGCAGACUCGAGAAUCAUUGCAGUUAUAGCAUGGAACAUAAACAUAAUUAUGAACUCGGAGAUAAAUAAUGUCAUUUAUUAUUGCCUCUAGGGCAUAUCUCCUACAAGAUGCAGAGGCCGGGGUCAUCCUCUUUUUCUAGAAAAAAUAUUGAGUAGAAAUCAGCGCCAGCAAGGGCCAAACCCACCAAGAAAAGCAGAAGGCAUGCAUCCAUUGCUAGCCCGCGGUCAGGCUCCCAGGAUUAGGCCAGAUAGAUUUGCGGAUUAAUCAUGUGCGCCCAAGACCAAGCAGAUUUAGUUUAGGCUAUUUUUCUGGUAAAUAAUUUAAUGACUAACGCGUAUAUCAGUUCUUAAGUUAAGUAAUAAUUUGCUAUAUGUUUAUCGAUCAGCCGAUGCAUUCUUUAUAGAAGAUAGUUGGUAUAUCAUCUUCUAUGAAUGUUUUUUCAGAAUUUUUUGAAUUUUUUUCUGUAUUUUUUACUGUUCAUAGGGUGUAGAUGAUCUAGAGCUCAGAAAUGAAUAUUUGCCUCAGUUCAUCCUUUCAAAAUUCCGACAACAUAAGCAACACAGUUGUCCUAAUGGUUUAGAAAAACAUUGACAUUGUAUCAUGUGAUUCAUGUCCAUAUGUGCAACCAUCGAAGAGUGGCUUCCAUUUCUACACCCAUGCAAAGAUGUACCCCCCCCCCCCCUCCUCUAAACCCAUGACUGAAAACAUAGCAAAACAAAUAAAAAGAUCAAAAACUUUGUAACUUCGAUUAUGACCAAAUGUUUUACGCGCAUGCAAAAUUACGUGCCCAAAUGACAUCCGAGGAGCUAUGUAUAAAAAAACAAAGUUUGUGCUCAAACGUAUGUGCACUGUUUCAGCAGAAUUUGUAUUGCAUUUGUAUGGCGAUCAUUUGAUGUUAUUUGGCCACCAUUCUUAGCAUGCACCAAAAACAUGUAUUCAUAAUCAAUACCACGAAGUUUCAGUUUUAUUUUUAUUUAUUUUUUAUAUUUGUCUUGAUUUUACUGUACAUCAUGGGGGUGCACGAACUUGAGUGUAGCGACUAACACUAGUAGAAAACAGGGCUUUGGUUCAGGGCCAAAUAAGGGCAUUAAUCCCGUUUCCCUUACGAACCGGGACCAAAGGGUGCAUCAGUCCCGGUUCGUGAGGCCAGGGCACCGACCGGGCCUCGGGGGCCAUUGGUCCUGGUUCGUCUGACCCCUUUGGUCCCAGUUCCAGACACGAACUGGGACCAAUGGGCCUCACUCCUGGCGUAGCACCUUUAGUCCCGGUUGGUGGCUGGAACCGGGACUAAAGGUGAGCCUUCUAUCCCAGUUCUAGCCACCAACCGGGACUAAAGAGAUGCCUAUAUAUACCCUCGCCCCUGCCCACCCUCUCCUCUGUUUUUUGGCCGUGCGGGAGGUGUGCAUGCACUGCUUUGUUCUCCCUUCUAUGCAUGCACAUGAGGUGUUUGAUGAAAUGCCGAGCCACACUUAAGCUUUCUCCUCUUCAAACUCUACCUCCAAGGUUCAUUUUCCUCAAGAUUUGUCUAGGCUUGGCGGUCCGUCCCAUCCCGUCCCGUCCCCGUCCUCACCGCUGUCGAUCGCCCGCGCCGAUCUCGUCACCGGCACCACCGUGGUGAGCCUCUUGUUCUUAUCUUUUUUCUAAAAGAAAAUAAUUAUUAAUUGUAUGAUUUAUUUAUUUUUCACGAAUACGCAAAGCUUGCGUAUCAUUGCAUUGAUAGAAGAAAAGCAGAAUGAGUACAUAAGAUGGUACAACACAACACGAACGCAUACAUGAGAAGGCGUGGACAUGAGACCCAGAGCAGAGGGACGGGAUGCUCAGCUCGGACAAAGAGAAAACACAACUAAAUCACCAAACCAAGCCUAUCUAGAGGGGCAACCCGAACCGGCUAGGUGACGAUCAUCUCCAACACCAACACCGGGGACGCCGUGAGCAAACAAGAUGACGCCUUCAAGAAGGGGCACGACAUCGUGACGCCGCCGCCAUCCGAUCCGAAGAACUGGACCAAGGGUUUCCCCCAGUGCUCGAAGAGGGGCACGAGUACAGGCCAUCGCAGCGCCUCCAAGAAGGAAAACGACACCCAUGGGUGCCGUCACUGUCAGCAUCAGCAAGCCGAUCAGGGAUUUCGCCCUGGCCUGAGUCCGAGCAAUCCCAUUGCCGCGGAUCAGGGGCCGAAGAUGAGGAAGUCGCUUCUCUAAUCGAGAUCGCCACCUCAGGAGGGGGUUGGUGGGGUUGCGCCAGCCGUAGGUGGGUGGCAUCUGGCGAGGACAAAAAAACACAAGCUUUGGGAUUGGCUCGCCGUGGGGGUGGACGGGGUCAAAGGGCGGCAGGGCCGAAAAAGCCGACGCGGAGGACGGAAGGCAAUUGACGCCAUCGACAAGCUAGGAGCCGGAAUGGGACGCAAAUCCAAGCUGCCGAGGACGAAGCCGCCUGGACGCCGGCAAGCCGAAGGCUGGAGAGACGCAGCAAUAGGAGCGCCGGCGCCCGAACCGCAGCGGCAAAUGACACAGGAAGGCUAUGGACAUUGGAGUGGAGAACGCAGGUCCAAAACUGCCAGGACCAGAGCGGUGCCGACAAAGGGUCCACCGCGAGGCCUCAACUGCAUGCCAAGGAAGACCACAACAGCACACAAAUCGGACGAAAUCAACACCGCAGGUCGGAGGAUUUAGAUAGAUACUUGUAUAAUUUUCUUACUUUUAUUAUUGUUUUUUAGAACUUAUUUUUGUUAUUGUUUGUUAUUAUAUAGUGCCAUGGUUUUGUUAUCCACCCCUGUCGGCGCUCGUCCUGUCUAUGAUUCAGAUGUGGUAUAUUAUCUUUUAUAACUAUUUGUUUCAUUUAGUGUUCAUGACAAUUAUGCCGACUAACGUGAGAUUGAUGUUUUUAUCUAGGAGGUAUGUGAACCGGAAAUUCCAACCGACCCUCUUGUCGAGAGGUUAAAUUUAGUUAAAAAAGAAAACAAUUACUUGAAGAAGAAAAAUGAAAAGAAUUGAGAAGGAGAAGAUGGAAUUGGAGUUGCAUGUUGCGGAUGUCGUCGAUGAUCACAAGAUCAAGAUGAAUGCAAUGCGCUUGAAGAUUAGAAAGAUUAGAAAAUAUGCCACUGAUACUGGGCUUAAAGAACUAGCAGCAUGCUCACAAAAUGAACAUUGCUAAUGAAUACCUAGGAGCGUGCACAUGAGGGUAUGCUGCUAAGUUGGUCUCAGAUUUGAAAACAAAGGUGCUGCCUGGCUAGCGUUCACACUAGCAGCGUUCACCUAGCAGCACAAGUUACUAGAACUACACUAUAUUAUGUCAUUCUAUGUAUGCUACUACAACUACACUAUAUCUCUCAAAUCGGACAAUUUUGUAUAACAUUUUGAAAUUUUAACCAGAUAUUCUAAUGAUCACAAGAUGACACCAUGUAAAGUUUGUUUUGUUUAGACAACACUUACAACUUUUGGUAAAUCUGCUUAAAAUCCUGAAAUUCUGUUAGCAGCGAGUCAUUUUCUGGCGAACGCUGCAAACCUUGCAUCUAGAAUCAUGUACAUUACAUCACAUGCUAAUUUCAUAAAAUAUAUUAUCUUGUUAGAAAAUAGCAAAUCCAUCUCAUAUAAAUUCAAUAACUGGAGAUGCAAAUUUGAUUUGUCUGCAUUACAUGUAUCCAAGAUUUUUUUUGUCAUAAAAAUAGCAAUACUACCUCCCCCUCUCUCAGGUCGGACAUUCCUCCCCCCCUCGAUUCUAGGAAUCUCCCCAUGGAUAUCGACAGGUUUGUAAGGAACAUAUGUCAUAACUAUUGUGUAACACGUUGAAAUUUCAAUCACAUAUUCUAGUGAUCACAUGAUGACACCAUGCAAAGUUUAUUUUGUUUAGACAACACUUAUAUCUUUUGGUAAAUCUACUUGAAAUCCUGAAAUUGUAUUAGAAGCAUACCAUUUCUUGGCAAAUGUUGUAAACCUUGCAUCUAGCAGUGUGUCAUUUCUUGGCAAACGCAGCAAACCUUGCAUCAUGUACUUUGUAGCACAUGAUGCUAACUUAAUAAAAUAUUUUAUGUUGUGGGAAAGUAGCAAACCCAUAUAAAUCCAAUAAUUGGAUUUGAAACUUUAAUUUGUCUGCAUUACAUGUAUGCAGGCUUUUAUGUCACAAAAAUGGCAACACUACCUUGCCCUCUCUCAAAUCAGACACUACCACCACCCCUCUCUCAAAUGGCAACACUUACAACUUCUAAAAAUAUUCUAGUGAUCACAUGACAGCACGCAAAGUUUAUUUUUUCAGAAAACACUUACAACUUCUAAAAAUCAAAAACCGAUUUCGAUGUCUGUUUAAAUAAUCCCAACAAAUGUUUGGACUUAUCAUCAAUCCAUCUAAGAACUAAAAUAUACACUAAAAAACUUGUAUACCAUGGGAUUGGCACAUAAUUGUGGGUGAAGUGUCUAGCAGAUGGCCAGUCACUGGAAGAUGCAAGUUAGCAGUGCUCAUUUGCUAGACACACUGGUAAGGUUUAACCAUUUAACUGCCCGUCCACUUGAGUUGAGGAAAAUUCCCCAAAUAUCGAUCAAGAUAUCAUCUUUCUUCAACACAAAUACACAAAAGAUAUCCCUUUGAAAUGAACUAAGUUAGGCAAGGCUUUUAUCUUCCAACUCUCCAAGUUGUUGUUUAACUUAACAAACUACCUCAGGGAUAUCAAACACAGAUUCUUGGAGAAGUGGUGGUUUAUAAGAAAACCAGCUUCAUCACGAGCUCAACAUAACGGCCAGGGGACAACUUGGUGAUAAUUCCAGGAAGAUAUCUGGAAAAUCUUGAACCACCGAUAUGUUAUGAAGCUCGAGAACAAUCUUGCCUUUCAGGGCAAGACGACAUGAUCAAAAGAGUGAGCGGUUGACACAAUCAUAACUCCUUGAUCGAAGUGUGCACCAGAAAUAAGGACUAGGUAGCACGAUCAAUCUUAGAAUGAUAAUUCAAUAACCAACACGCUAAGAAUGAGAUCCUUGUCUAUUAACUAUCAAGCGUCGUUGCUAGGAGUAUUGAUUUCACACAUCACAUUUCAUUUGUCGGUAUUCCGGUUGCAACAACAUGGGGAUCGAGGAAUGAAUAAUUACCACGUGAGCCGGCUGGCGCAUGGGGCCAGUCGGUCACGCCUCAUUGGCCACACGAGGACUUGCUUGGUGCCACUUGCGUGGGUGAGCGUGGCGCAUGUUGCUUGGCCCGAAAGAUCCAUCCGACUACGGUUUCGUUGUCUAGACACCCGGGCAUGAGUCCCAUCUAGAUAGGGUCAUGGUGACAAUAGGACAGUAUGUCGCGCUCGAUGUUGUCUGGUUGGUCGUCCUGUCAUUUCACUCGGCCAGCUGGAGCUGUCUCGGAAUGGAUGGUUGGUUGCUCGACCUGACACGCCAUUUGUUUUCAUGGGUAUUUUGGUCUUUGCCUUAGGUCGGUUGAGGUUUCUUAUAAGUUAUUUUCUUACACCGCAAGUCGGUUGUCGUGUAUGUUGGUCUCGCUUUCACUUAGUUUUGCUCCUGCUAGCAGUGGCCCUAUCUUUGAGGUGAAAAGUCUUUGGCGGCAAAGCCGGCGUUCGCAGGGCCACAAGUCCGUGCCCGAGGCCAUCAUCGUGGAAGCCGGUGUGGGCGCCUAGCAGUGUCGUGUCGCACCUAGGAGUGUUGGCUAUGGGCAUGUUGAAGUCGUCCAGCUUCACGACGUUGGUGGCCUUCUCAAGAAAGGCAAUCACGACCUCCUGUUAGGGAUAUAAGUUGCCUUUCUAGACGGUAGUCGCCGGUACCACUCGGAUGUGCUUGUUUCUGCAAGACUGCAAGGUGGCGUCCAUUUCACCGCUUCUGUUUUGGGUCGGUGUCCCCUUCGUUCCAUUGUUCGUGCUCUUGUUUUUUUCUUUAGGCGUAUUUGUCGCUGCGACGUUGCAUCAUUCUUGUAUGUGCCAAGAACAUGAAAUUCCAUGUUUGCUGUUGUCAAUGUUCUAUAGCGGCGUGUGGUUUUGUUGCUUUCAGAAACUUCAUGGUUGUAUGUAGUGUACUUUAUUAUGUAAUUGUUAAUCGGUAGGUGCUUUUUCCGAGCCAGUUGCACAACUUGAGUUCACUCGUUUAGGUAUCUGCAGGGCUUGCUGUUUGUGUAUGCUCACUUACCGCUCACAGCGUCCCGUUGCUGCACAAGACACAAAACCACCUUGCCCAGUCUAUGUCUGCGCGCACUGGAUUAUAGAAGUAAUGACCCCUGGUAAUGGUGUCAGAAGCCCGAACGUUGCCCGGACCCAAAGAUGUUUGGCUUGCCCGGGCACCUAGGGGCUUCCCCCAACUUUCCGGCCUGGUGCAGUUGUAUCCUAUACUUUACUAGAAGAACGCCCAUGCGUUGCAACGGGGCCACAUUAACUUUAAGAGUUCAAUAUUACGACAUUGGCGACCUUUUUUACCAUCAAAUCCUCACACACACACAGACACACACUCUCCCUCCGUCUUCCUCACUCUCUAUCCCCCUCUCCCUCUCUCUCUAACACACACACAUAUCCAUCUUAUUGGGUACGGGACCAUAAUCCAUCUAUUUCACACAUACACGCUAGUGCACAACAAUAUGGAUUAUGUGUAUUAUAUUUGCCACCAGAACUGAGGGAAUUAAUUUCAUGUAAAUCGACCAGCCACAACUCCAAGAAUACGCGGACGAGGUGGCUCGGGUCGGCGUCGGCGCCGUCCAGCGCGGGCCACGGGCCCGCUUUCAAGUGCACGUGCAAUGCAUGUCUUCACAAAUAUUAUAACCAGAUGUGAGAAAUCACAUGUAUAAAAAAGACAUUCUGAUAGUAAUCCAAAUACCAUACUCAAUUGAAUACCUAACCUGGACAAUACUCUUAUUUCUAUGCGCCAAAAAAAAUGGAAUAGCAAAGCUAAGUAUGCCUACAUACGCUCAGAUUAUAUAUAAGAAUCUUGCGUGAACAAUUGCAACAAAGCACUAAGCAGCGAUAAAUUUAAAUAAAAAAUCCAUUAACUAUGCAGGCAACAGGCUUGUUACAACAUAGAGAGAUAGGAAAAUGUCACCUCCAGUAAUGUAGCGCAAAGGAGUGGAACGAAGCAUGAAUGAGCGGUUGUCUGUUCUUCUCCAUGUACAUGGAUCAGCAGUAGAGGCCAAGUAUAUAAGUACUUGACCGAACUCCACACUCCACUCUUCGUGUACGGAGAGCCAUGUCACCUUCUCGCCGCUGCAGCAUGGGAGGACGGCUGGUUCACGUGACCCUCCAGCUGGGGGAUCCAUGGUGGCUGACCGUCGAGCUCGAGGCGGAGAAGUUGAGGGCAGUAGUGGCGAGAUCCAUGCCGGCCAACCGGGCGAAGAGGAGGUCGUCGGGGAGGGACACAUCGGCAAGAUCCGGUCACCACGCGACCUGAAGAGCAACAGUGAUCUCCACAAGCUGUAGGCCGACGGCGUGCUCCAUCCCCUGCGAUGGGGUGACCAUGGCGGUGGCCACAGCUCCUCAUGCUCGCCUCGAUCUUGGCGACACACCUUGAGUGUAGGAGGCAGCAACGACCUCGACGAAAUCAUGGCCUCCAUCCCGGAACGCAAUCAUGUCGCUCUAAAUAAAUGGAUUCAAUCAUGUGACUCUAAUUACUUCGGAUUGUUAUGUGCACACUAAGCGGGGUGUAGUUAGGAAAGAAAAUAUUCUCUAAUUAAAGUGAUUGAGUGAAUUAAGGUAAGGUUAAUUAAUUUAGAUUUGAUUUUUAGUGAUUGUUAGUAAAGUACGAUGCGUCUUUAAAAUCUUUUAUUUGUUUCCUUAAAAUAUAUUAUUUGUUUCCUAAAGAAAUUUACAAUAAUGAAAGAUAUCGGUUGAUUUGGAUAAGUUAGUAAAUUUAAAUCCGUGAUUGCGUGCACGUUUGGAAAGUGUUGAUCUCCACAAGCUGUAGGCCGACGGUGUGCUCCAUCCCCUGCGAUGAGGUGACCAUGGCGCUGGCCACAGCUCCUCAUGCUCGCCUCGAUCUCGGCGACACACCCUGAGUGUAGGAGGCAGCAACGACCUCGACGAAAUCAUGGCCUCCAUCCCGGAACGCAAUCAUGUCGCUCUAAAUAAAUGGAUUCAAUCAUGUGACUCUAAUUACUUCGGAUUGUUAUGUGCACACUAAGCGAGGUGCAGUUAGGAAAGAAAAUGUUUUCUAAUUAAAGUGAUUGAGUGAUUUAAGGUAAGGUUAAUUAAUUUAGAUUUGAUUUUUAGUGAUUAUUAGUAAAGUAUGAUGUGUCUUUAAAAUCUUUUAUUUGUUUCCUUAAAAUCUAUUAUUUGUUUCCUAAAGAAAUUUGCAAUAAUGGAAGGUAUCGGUUGAUUUGGAUAAGUUAGUAAAUUUAGAUCCGUGAUUUCGUGCACGUUUGGAAAGUCCUGAUUUGCAAGGAAAGAGCUGAGGGGUAAAUAAACCGGUGAAUAAGAAACCAUCAUCGAAAAAAAUCUACGACGGUUAACCUACGGAAAAAAACCGGACGAAAGUGGUGGGACGAAAAAAAACCUGGAAGCGAGACUACCAACUGCUCCAUUAGGAGUAGAGAAACGCUGGGCCAGAGAUCAACUGGGUAGGCACAACAGAGCCAAAGGACGGUGUCCGGGAAGCGUACAUGCUGGCAAUUGGCCUGGAAAGCAAAGCUGGUUUGCAUCCGAGCAAAAUUACCAGCUGAGGGCUUCUUUGGAUCACAGGAUUAGAAAACAAAGGAAUUCCAAAAACACAGGAAUUUGACGGGAUUGUAGGUGCAAAACAGAGGAUUACAAAAUGGAGGAAAACUACAAGAAUGGUCAUUUGGAUGGAACACAGGAAAAACACAGGAAAAGUGCCUCGAUCCUACGCGAAUCAGUGUAAAAAAGAGGUUAUAGUGGAUGUUGAAAUUCCUAUAGGAUUGAGGUGUAGGAAUGCAUCCAUAGGAAUUUUGGAGGUGUGGUUCCUUUGAUCCAAAGGGCUUCUUUAGGAAAAAAUCUAAUGGAUUGGAAUCCUCCAAUAUUCCUAUGAAAAUCCUUCAAUCCAAAGAGGCCCUGAAAUGACGCAUGGCACACUGUGUAUCCGUCGCCCACGAGCUUUCAUGCGGACGGCCGGGCAUCUGGAGAGCACACUCAUCGAUACUUAUCAUGGGGUCAGGAGUCGAGUAGGGAGGAAGCAAGAAUCCCGAGUAGUGAUGAAACUAGCCGACCAGCUAGCUUUUGGCACCGCAUCUGCAUCAACCAGCUUGACCCAACAUCGGGCCUUCCGUACUUCCUGGCAACCGCCUUCCUGGACGGGCAAUACACUAGCUUCGUACGGCCACACCGCCAACCUGCUGAACGGAUGCACCCAUCAAUAGUAGGGAAACCCCUUGUAGGAUUUUACUAGCAGCAGCCAAAUUUUACUCGUCUCAAGAAAUAUCACGCGGACAACCCUAGAACGGAUGCACACAUCCCUAGAACUACAGGGGGACACUAACUUUGCCAACUACCACCGGCGUCCAGAGAGUAAGCGCCGCAAAACAGCAGAUGUUUAGAUUACUUCGACACUAGUAGCGUCUAGAGAAAAGAAACGCUUGUAGUGCUGCAGACCGAGCCAGCUAUUUUGUCGCGAAGGGAAAGCAGCAUUUCGAGAGAGUAAGCGCCGCAAGAUGGGAAACUAGCAGUGCUCCAUCUUUUCUCAACGCCCCAAAACUAACUUGCAUCCAUACACCGGCCGACCUCAUUUGUGGGCUUAAACAACUAGCAGCAUGCCCACAAAAUGAAUGCUGCUACUGGACAUACACCUAGGAGUAUGUACAUGACGGAACACUGAUAAGUUGGUCUCAGAUUUCAAAACAAUGGUGCUGCCUUGCUAACAUUCACACUAGCAGCGUUCACCUAGCACCACACGCUACUAAAACUGCAUUAUAUUAUAUUAUUCUACGUACGCUACUACAACUACACUUUAUCUCUCAAAUCGGAUAAUUUUGAGUAACACAUUGAAAUUUUAACCACAUAUUCUAAUGACCACAUGAUGACAUCAUGCAAAGUUUAUUUUGUUUAGACAACAGUUACAACUUUUACAAAUCUGCUUAAAAUCCUAAAAUUAUGUUAGCAGCAUAUUAUUUCCUGGCAAACACAGCAAACCUUGCAUCUAGCAGCAUGUACAUUACAACACACACUGCUAAAUUCAUACCUAUAUUAUGUUGUUACUCCCUCCGUUCGGAAUUACUUGUCUCGAAAAUGGAUGUAUCUAGAACUAAAAUACAUCUAGAUACAUUCAUUUCUGCGACAAGUAAUUCCGAACGGAGGGAGUAGAAAAUAGCAAACCCACCUGGCCGUGGUUUUGUCACGGCAGAUGUCAUAGCAAAAGGACUUAAGCGUGAAGCCAUCGCAACGGUGAUUAGCUUGUCCAGGUUGAGCGGGACAAAAGAUACAGGUUUACCCAGGUUCGGCCCCUCACGGUGGAGGUAAAAGCCUACUCCUGCUCUUGUUGCUAUUGCUUGAGUAUCGAUUACAAGGGAACGGAUUCGCUUGACCUAGCUAUCGAUUGAUAGUAAACUGUCUAUUUUAUGCCGGGGACUCGCCUUUAUAUACAGGUCAAGGCCGCCGGCUUACAAGAGUCCGGGUCGGGUUAUGAUACGUGACCGAACCAUACUCUAAGUCGCCCUGCAUUACAAGGUAGAUCACUACAUGGCGUGUUACACCUCGGGGCUAUCUUUUGACCCUCAGCCUAAGUCGGCCCAUCUUCUGAGCCGUCUCCUUAAGGCCACGUCUUGACUAUCUUGGCUCUUCAAAGGCCCAGCUCCUUAAGACGCCAACGAUCUAACCCGCCCCUAUUAGUGCGGGUUAUAUCGCUGGGUUAUAUCCCCACACACCUCAUAUAAAUUCAAUAAUUGAAGAUGAAACUUUGAUUUUUUUGUAUUACAUGUAUACUACAUUUUUAUGUCACAAAAAUAUCAACACUACCUUGCCCUCUCUCAAAUCAGACACUAACACACCCCCCCCCCUCGAAUCGACAAAUCUCCCCUUGGAUAUCGAUAGGUUUGUAAGCCACGUAUGUCAUAACUUUUGUGGAACAUUUUGAAAUUUUAACCAUAUAUUUUAGUCAUCAAAUGAUGACACCAUGCAAAGCUUAUAUUACUGAAACAACACUUUCAACUUUUAAAAGUUGAAAACAGAUUGCAGAUGUGUGUUUAAAUAAUCCGAACAAAUGUUUGGACUUCUCUUUCAAUUUCUUUAAACAACUAAAAUAUACACAAAAAACAUUAAUAGCAUGGAAUUGGCACAUAAUUGUGGUCGAAAUGUUUAGCAGCUUGCCAAUCACUAGACUUAGCUAGUUAAGAGCACUCGUUUCUUGGACACACUACUAAGUUUUAACCAUUUAGCUACAUGCCCACUUGACUUGGUGAAAAUUCCCCAAAGCUCGCCACCCAUCAAAUUCCUAGCUCGUGCUGCCGUCAACCACACUAGUUCAUCGCCAACAUCGCCGCCCCGCUUGACCUUGUCUGCGCUCCCAUGUUAUUAUGCGCAGCAUUGUGAUGUGGCUGCCCGCGACCCAGUGGUCCUCUUCCUCUGACCUGCCCCGCCUGCUCAUCUGCACCGCCGCCCACCCUUCGUCUGCGUUCUCGCCCAUCGCUCAGUGCCUCUCCUCUACAUCCUAUAUGCCGGCAGGUAGGCAUUCUCCUGCUUAGGUCAUUGGGGAUCUAGUGGGGUUGCCCCCGACAGUUCCUAAAAUUUACAUGAAUUUUGAGGUUCCAGAUCAUGUAAAAUGUAAAACAUGUUGUUGUAUAGACAUGUUGCUUAAAUUAUGAUGGUAGUUAGACUAAAUUAAGGCAUCCUUUGGUUUGUAGAAAUUUUGUAGGAUAGGGUUUUCAAAGGAAAAAUUCCUUUGGAGCCCUUUGGUUUGUAUGAAUGGAUUCCUAUUACUAUGUAGGAUAGAAAUCAAUGCUUCACAUUUCAAAGGAAAAAUCAUUUUCGUGGACUCAAUGAAACAAUUCCUAUCCUAUCAAUCAAAUGUCAUCUCACUUCAUAUGAUUUUUCCGUUCAUAUGAUAUUCAUAUCCUAUGAACCAAAGAGGCCUAAACAUGUUGCUUUUAUAGGGUUGAGGUUCUAGGUUAAUAAAUAGAUUACAUGAUGAUAUACGACAAAGUUUCAAAACUUGUUGUAUGGGGACUAAAUUAGACAUGUUGCUCUAUACGUUGAUGUCGCGAUCCCAAGGCAGGAAGAGGCCCCAGCUUGCUGUACGGGACCCCAGGGCACGUCCGCUCAGGGACUACGUGUACGAGAUACCACGCAAGUUCCAUGUACGAUCUACUCGGUUUGUUUAGGGAAUCGUACAAUAAGGGAGACCAUGAACCUCAUAUUUUCCAUGAUUACUGUGCUAAUCGGAUUAAAGAUUUUCAGGUACAUGUCCAUCAAUCGAUCAAUCAAAAAACAAGUAUGUACACUGCUUUCGUUAUGUCCAAAUAGGCUAGUACAUGACUUGGCUGCCUCCGGCAAAUUGUGCACACGUACGAGCUCCUGCCUUGAUCGAUUCCUACUCGAAGAUGGGAUCACGUUCCACAGGCGCAGGAUCUAUUCAAAAGCCACCCAGGCCCAGGUGGACGCGAACGUGACGAGAUGUGGGACGACGAGAUAUGAGCCGUAUAAAUCGGAAAGGAGGGAUGAGUAUACUGGUGCGUUCCAGGUUGAACUAGCGGUGCGUUACUAUUGGUCUUCUCUGAAAUGAUACUAAUAUUGGUUAGCAUGUAGCAAAGUGGCAGGGCCCAUGAAAUCACCGAAAAGCCUGCUGAUGAUACGACGCGGCGGGGGCACACGUCCACGAGAAAGACAUUUAGGGUCUUUUGAUUGUGACUACUUUCGCCAAUUACUUUACUUGAGGUGCUCAAAUGUUUGACCACACUGUGACCUUCCUUAGAUAAUCUUGUCACACUCUUUUUGUAUCUAUGACAUAUCUUAGUCGUGGCUAGAACAAAACACACAUCUAACUUGGUCAAACUUGCCUAAAUUGAGGUGUGGUAAAGUCUGGCGAGUUGUGGCUUGGAACCAAACAACCCCUUGGAUACUUUUGGCAACUUAGUUGAGGAGGAUUUGUACCACACAGGUGCGCGGCAUUGAUUCACUCGUGCGGACUUUUUCUUUUGGCUUUCUAUUUUUAAUCUUUCAUAUCUUUUGAAUAAAAAGUCUAAAUUGAGUUAUGUUUUCAUAUUCGUAUUUGUCAUGAUGAGGGCUUUAAAAUAAGAUCCAUUUUGAAUACAUUUUGAGGAGUUCUCAAACAUUCCAUUAUUUAAACUUAGUACGCACGACCGGUAAUUAAGUCUUGUUUUCAUAUUCGUAUUUCUGGUGAUGAGGAUUUUCAAAUAAGGUUCAUUUUGAAUACAUUUUGAGGAUUUUUAAAAAAUUCCGUUAAUUUUCAACCUUUGAAACUUAGUACACACAACUGAUAAAAUCAUAACUUUUGUACAAAAAUUGUCGAUAAAAAUUUGAACUCCGAAACUUAAUACGAACGAUCGAGAAAACCGUAAGCUUCAGAUGCAAAAUAGUAAGUUUCCAAGUUUAAAACUUAAACUGAUAUGUUCCCUUGUGUAGGAUACAGCUACUUUGCGGACCGUGAGACGAUUGGGUGGCCAGGGAGAGAAAGCAGGUGCAUGCCCCUGCCAAUUUUGGACUUAGUUGAUCAUAUACAUUGAAGGUUUUCUACUACACCAUGAUGGACAUGUUUUUAUUUAUUAAAUUGUACAUUUAAUGAAGUGAAAGACAUUACGCUGCAGUGGGGGUGUCAUUCUAACUAAUUGGAUUAGGCAACCAAACAUAGCUCGUUGCAAAGCUGACUAAAAUAUAUUUCCUCCAUUUCAUAAUAUAGUGUCCACGUGCUUUUCAAGAUUCAAAUUUGACCAUAAAUUAGGCCAAUAAUACAUAAAUCAUUUUACUGAAAAAUUAUACCUUUGAAUACUUUUCCAAAUACGAAUUCAAAGGUAUCUCCAUGAUACGGCCGCAGUCGCUAAUGUUGGUUAAAUUUAUGGUCAAAAUUAAAUCUCAAAAAG
rnacentral:lncRNA from 1 species